rnacentral:lncRNA from 1 species
CCUUAUACCCUUUCCAAGCCUCAUAGUAGCACUCUAAGUCAAGCUAAGAGAAUGUAGUGAUUUCAUCCCUCAAUUUGGUAAUAUUUUUAGAUGGGAAAUAUUUGUUUAGGAAUUUCUGGUUCAGACUAUUCCAACUGAUGAUGCUGUGGAGGAAAAAUAUCUAACCAUUCUCUAGUCGAGCCUCUCAAAGUGUAGGAAAAAAGCCCUAGCCAAAUUGCACACAUGUCUAGAAAUCUGAGAUAUGAGCAUUAGGAUUUUCGAUUGCUCUCUCAAAGAAUUGUUGUACAUUCUAGAAAAUACCGAUCACACCCGUCCUCAAAUGAAAAUUUGCUUGACCAAAUGCUGAAGAUACUAUACUGGAUUGGCAUUCCAAGACUGGUAGAACCAUAUACUCUCCUGUUAACCUGGCAUUCUCAUUCCCAACAGACACAAUUGGAUGUGCUGCUUAUUCAUCGCCAUGAUAGCAAUUUGAUCUUGAUUUUGUUCUGCCAAGAGCUCUACAUUCUUUUUUGGUAUGCUUCUAACUGUUUUCUUCUCUUCAAUCUAAAUGUUUGUUCAAUUUUUGGGUCAAAAUGAGAAAAAUCUCCAGUUCUUGAACUUUGAAUACAAAGUCCUGAAAAGGAAAAAUAGAAAACACUAUAAUAUUUUUCUAAUAAUUGAAAUUAACUAAAUAAGCAAUAAAAAAAAAUCAAAGUAAAGCUAUCCCCAGCAACGACAUCAAAAGCUUGAUCGUUUGAUUUUUCGCAAGUGAGCGGGAUCGUGAACAAGUAAUAAAGUAGUGAACAGCGCAUUGAACUCAAGAGGACUUGAGUUAAAAUUAGUUGCAACUUUAAUUGAAUAGCAACUAGUUGUUGUAAUUUUUUCUAAAUAAUUCCUAAAUUAUUAAUAAAACUAGUGAAAACGAGUAAAUGUGUUUUUCAAACUCAUAAACUACUGCAAAAUGAAAUAAAUAAAGGGUAGAAACGUUGGGUUGCCUCCCAACCAGCACUAUUUUAUAGUAGAUAGCACGACUUUUGGCACAGGUGUUUUAUGGCACUUUAAAUAUGGCUUGGGAUGUCCUGUGUAGUUUGCUCAAUAUGGUCUUAUUUUGUACUGUAGUUAUCCUCCGAAUUUCAUCCCUGUCCUUCUCAAAGUGAUGUGACUUUAUCUCUUCAUCCGUAUGAAAUCCCACAUUGAAUGCCUUAAUCUUCCUUGAAUCAGUAAGAGUGGAUAGAGAGUGCACUACAUAGGUCUCAUGAAUGUCUAGCUAUUUCUUUAAUUCUCAAUGUGAUGUGACUUUCUCUCCUCGUCCGUAUGAAAUCCCACAUUGAAUGCCUUAAUCUCCUUUGAAUCAGUAAGAGUGGAUAGAGAGUGCACUACAUAGGUCUCAUGAAUGUCUAGCUGUUUCUUUAACUCAAAAUUAUAGGGAAUUCAUAUGUCAACCACUUCAAUCUGGAAACAACUUUCUUCAUGUUUACUUAAGAAAUUCGAAACUAAAUUUUUUUCUUUUUAUUUUAUUCUUGGUCAUCUUUUCAGUUGCUUUCUAUAUAACCAUUGUAAUGAGUUUUAGGCCGAUGAUUCCCAAACCAAUUGGUUUUAGGGUAUUAGGUUUUAGACCCUUGUAGGCUUAUUUACUAGAGUUAUAAAGGCUCGAUUAGAUGACUUUUUAUUAACUUCUCUCCUUCUUACUUUCUAUAUAACCUCUUUGGUGAACUUUAGGCCAGUGACUCCCAGACCAGUUGGCCUUAGGGCACCAAGUUUUAAAAUAACCUUACAGACUUACUUACUCAGUCAUAAAGGCUUAGGAAGAAGUGUUAUUUUUGCACAAAUUAGUUUAUGCCCAUCUUUGUUUUUCUAGACAUUCAGUUUCCAAAACCAACCCUCAACUUAAGACUUUCACCUAGUUUUCACCUUAUUGGUCUUAGGCAAUCCAUACAAUAUAAUUUCAUGCACGGAGCCUCUCUACCUAUCUCAAAGUUCCCCUGUAAUUGAUCAACCAUCUCCAGACAUUCUUGAAAUAGUUAUUGGUCAACACAAUAUAGGUUUUUCUCAGUUUCUCCUACUUCAUUCAAGAACCCCAUCACUUACUUAACAUGUAAAGCAUGAGUGUGUGCAUAAAGAUUGUCAAGUACCACAUCAACAAAUUCAGGUUAAUGUUGUUCUGCAUCAUAUCACAGUUCCCAGUAUCUUUUCUAAUAAUCUCAUCAUAAUCGGUAAGGCUAUCAAACACAUACAAGCACAGAAGAAAAGAAAUACAGUAAAAUGAAGAACAUAUGCAGAAAUUUUUUUAACACUCAAACAAGCACACAAAAUGCAACAAUUAAGUAAAUGUAUUGAUGGAAUAUGAAUAAUACACGAAAAAUUGAUACCAAAAUCUAGCUGCCACAUUUAUAUCUAAUUAUGCCACUUUUCCCCCAAAUUUAUAUACAUUACAUUGUCUUCAAUGUGAAAAUUAGAAGGUUAAGAGGAAUAAUUAAGGAUAAGUACAAAGUAAAAGCACAUAACAUGGUGUACGAAACUUUCCUGAUCAAUAUGGAGGUGGUGGAAAAUUGGAACCCGCAAUCCCAUAUGUGAAGCCGACUUCUCCUUUCCUAUUGAGGUCUUCCAGGAGGCAUCCUACAAAAGUACAAAAUAUGUGUAUUAUAUCUCAUGGUGAUAAUUGAUGAACUUAGAUGCAUGAAGAAAUCCAUGUGACGCACCAUUCCCCCAAACUUUUUUCAUAGUGCAUGUAUAAAUCAUGUGGGGUGUGUGUAAGCCGUGAACUUAGUUUCAUAACAAGUUACAACUUAAUACUAUUUCAACAUGCUUAACUCGUGCACAAUGCAAUAGGACUCGUUUUGAUAUACAUGGGUGAACAAUGACCUAGAAAUAUUAAUAAUGUUGAAAACUUGAAAAACUCAUAGACUAAUGCAAAACGAAAUGAAUAAAGGUAGAAACGUUGGGUUGCCCAACCAGCGCUAUUUUAUAGUCGAUAGCUCGACUUUUGGCACAGAUGUUUUAUGGCACUUUAAAUAUGGCUAGGGAGGUCCUGCGUAGUUUGCUCAAUAUGGUCUUGUUCCACAUUGCAGUUAUCCUCCGAAUUUCAUCCUUAUCCUUUUCCAAGUGGUGUGACUUUCUCUCCUCAUUUGUAUGAAAUUCCACAUUGAAUGCCUUAAUCUCCCGUGAAUCAGUAAGAGUGGAUGGAGAGUGCACUAUACAGGCCUCAUGAACGUCUGGCUAUUUCUUCGACUCAAAAUUAUAGGGAAUUCCUUAUUAACCACUUCAAUCUAGAAACUGCUUUCAGGCUCGGUGACAUUACCUUGAAAACAUUAAAAGAAACAUGCUUUUGUCCCAGCCUCAAAGUUAAUUAUCCUUGUUACACAUCUAUGAGGGCUCUUGCAGUAGCCAAAAAUGAUCGUCCUAAUAUGAUAGGCACGUCCUUGUCUUCUUCUAUGUCCAAAAUCAAGAAGUCCGCUGGGAAUAUAAAUUUAUCCACUUUGACCAAUACAUCUUUGAUAAUCCCUCGUGGACAUGUAAGUGAUCGAUCAGCCAACUGUAGAAUUACUGUAGCUGCCUUAGGUUCUCCCAAUCCUAGUUUUCUAAAUAUAGAGAGUGGUAUCAAAUUAAUACUCACACCAAGAUCACAUAAUGCUUUAUUAAAAUAAAAAUCACUAAUUGUACAAGGGACAGUGAAACUCCUUGGAUCUUUCAGUUUUGGUGAGAACUUUUUUUAGAUCUUAACGCUACACUCUUCAGUUAACAUCAUCGUUUCAUGUUCCUCUAACUUACAUUUAUUUGUUAAGAUGUCCUUCUGGAACUUGGCAUAGAUGGGCAUAUGAAGUAGUGCAUCUACGAACAGAAUGUUGAUGUGGAGCUUUUUGAAGAUUUUGAGGAAGUUCUUAUAAUGCUGCUCCAUCCUUUGCUUCCUCAACCUCUAGGGAAAUGGAAAGGGUAACUCAUAAUGGUUAACUGGAACGGUGUUCUAUCUCUAGUGGGUGGUGGCAUGCUUUUCCAGAACCUGACUAAGUUGCGUUAAUUAUAGUUGAAAUGUGGCUCAUGUCUAUGUAAUUUUUUUUGUAGUUAUAUUGAUGGAAGUUAUGAAAUUUUAAAGAAAAGAUGUGAAAAAGGACCAAAAUGGAAUAAAUCAAAGUUCAAGGACCAAAAUGUAGAUUCCCAAAAGAUGAUUGGGAAGCAUAAACAAGGAUGUGAAGGAGUAAAAAAAUCAAUUUGGUGAGAACAUGGAGUAUUGGAAGAAGAAGAAAUGAGUAUAAACUUUAAAAACGAGAAACUAGAGUUCAGGGACUAAAUUGUAACUUUUGGGAAGUUUGUAAUACUAUGCAAUCGCAUAGUACAAAGCUCAAUAUAGUCGCAUACCUAUGUUCAGAAAUUUUUAGGGCCAAAAUCAAUUGAAUUGUGCAGUCGCAUGGAAUUGUACUAUGCAGUCUCAUAUUACAAACUCGACGGGAAAAAUCUGGUUUCUUGUUUAAUUAAAAUUCUUAUGGAAACAAUUUUUGGUAGCAAUAAGCUGUCAAAUUCAGAGGAGAAUGCAUUGGGAAAGAAAACACAUAUUGAAGAGAAUUUGGAGCCAUAACAACAAAGGAUUUCACAGAGAUUAACGGAAUUUCAUUUAAUUUAUUGAUUCGAUGAUGUUAUUUCUCUCAAAUAUCAUGUAUUUUGUUAUUCUCUACAUGUUAAGCUAGAAAUUUGUGUAUUAGAAGAUCGAUGAACCUUGAAAUGUGAUUUUUAACUCUUUGUUUCAUAUUUUUAUAAAACACGUUUGGAUUAUUUUAAAUGAUUUAUGUGCACUCAUUUUCUCCACAAUUAUUGUGCACGUAAUUUGUGUGAGUUGGGUGACUUGUUCUUGCAUUCGAGAGAAUUGGAAUAGGUUCGACAGGUUACAAAUCAUCGUAGGGUCUGAUAAGAGAUAGAGAUAUACCGCUAUGUCCUAUGUAAAUCUUUAAGUGCUCACAAAAUUGCAUGCGUUUUCAUAAAUACGCAUCCAUCAUAGAGAUAUAGGCUGGCGGUGUAUGAAAAUAGGUUCAGUGCUACUCGAGAGAGGGUGUUGGAUAGAUUUAGGAGCAUUGAUUUUUCAAAAUUCCAUCAUGUUGUCGGAUUGUGAAAUUAGGGUUAAAUUGAACUUUGCUCGAGAAUUCGUGAUCCUAGUACGUUUAAUUCUCAUUGAAUAAAAUCAAAUUGCGUUUCAGCCAUCAUAUUGCAUUCUAAUUCAUUUAAAAAACAUCAUUUUGCAUAUUUAGUUCACUCAAUCAUAAACAAUUGCAUAAACUAGGGUUUUCUAUAAUUAGGGUCUUAUAUAAAUUAGGGUUUUCUUAGGUUAAAAAUUUACUUUCAAUAAUCUAGUUCGGUUAAGGCUACGAUAAAUAAAAUUGAACUACUCAAUCACCAUGAGAUGAUAUUCAGACUCAAAUUAUCCACUUUAUUAUUUGUUUACGAAAUUAUUAUUUCGAUUUAAACCACCGCAAGUGUACGGUUUGUUGACAAGUAAUAAAGUGGAUAAAUUGAGUCCAAAUAUCGUCCCACAGAAAUUGAUUUAGUUCAAUUUUAUUUAUCCUGACCUUAACCGAAACUAAAUUAUCCAAAGUGAAUUUGUUUACCUAAGAAAACCCUAAUCCAGCUAGAUAUGCAAAUGUUAUGAAUUGAAUGAAAUAAUAUGUAAAACAAAACUUGGAUGAACUAAAAUGCAAAUUUAUGUUUGGAACGCAAAUUAUUUGUAAUCAAUGAAUGAUAAUCCACUAGGAUAACGAAUUCUCAAGUAGUAUUUAGUUUAAUCCUAAUUUCACAAAUUGACAACACAAUAAAAUUUUGAAGAAUCAAUGCUCCUAAAUCUAUCCGACACACUCUCUCGAGAAGCAUUGAACCUACUCUCAUAGACCACCCGACUAUAUCUCCAUUCCUUGAUGGAAGAAGUUGUGUUGAUUAUAUUUGGAAUGUGGCUUAAGUUAUAUUGAUGGAAGUUGUGGAAUUUUAAAGAAAAGAUGCGAAAAAGGACCAAACUGGAAUAAAUCAAAGUUCAAGGACCAAAAUUCAAAUUGUCAAAAGAUGAUCGUGAAGCAUAAACAAGGAUGAGAAAGAGUAAAAAAAAAAAUGGUGAGAACAUGGAGUAUUGGAAGAAGAAGAAAUGAGUAUAAAGAUUAAAAACGAGAAACUGGAAUUUAUGGACUAAAUUGCAACUUUUGGGAAGUUGUAGUACUAUGUAGUGCAUAGUAUAAAGCUCCAUGCAAUUGCAUACCUAUGUUAAAAAAAUUUCAGGGUCAAAAUCAAUUGAACUAUGCAGUCGCAUGGAAUCGUACUAUGCAGUCGCAUAGUACAAACCUGGUGGGAACAAUCUGGUUUCCUUGUUUGAUUAAAAUUCUUAUGAAAACAACCCGUGGUAGUGAUAUAAAAACCCUAGGGCCGUUAAAUUCAGAGGAGAAUGCAUUGGGAAAAAUAAACAUAUUGGAGAGAAUUUGGAGCCGCAGCAACGAAGGAUUUCACGGAGAUUAACGGAAUUUCAUUCAAUUUAUUGAUUCAGAGAUGUUAUUUCUCCCAAAUAUCAUGUAUUUUGUCACUCUCUCCAUGUUAGGCUAGAAAUCUGUAUACUAGGAUAUCGAUUAACCUUGUAAUGUGAUUUUUAAUUCUUUGUUUCAUAUUUUUGACAUUAAAACAUGUUUGAAUAUUUUGAAUGGUUUUAUAUGCAAUUAUUUUCUACUGCAAUUAAGAGCCCAUAAUUAUGUGAGUUUUGGUGAUCUAUUUGUCAUGUUCGAGAGAAGGAGAAUAGAUUCGACAAGGUAUAAACUAUCGUAGGGUCCGAUAAGGGAUAGAGAUAUACCGCUAUGCCUUGCGUGAAUAUUUAAGUGUUCAUUAAAUCACAUGCACUCUUGUAUAUCUACAUUCAUCAUAGAGAUAUAGUCGGGUAGUAUAUGAGAGUAGGUUCAAUGCUACUAGAGAGAAAGUGUUGGAUAGAUUUAGGAGCAUUGAUUCUUUAAAAUUUCAUCAUGUUUGCAAUUUGUGAAAUUAGGGUUAAACUAAAUACUACUGGGGAAUUCGUUAUCCCAGUGCAUUAUCAUUCAUUGAUUACAAAUAACUUGCAUUCCAAACAUAAAUUUGUAUUUUAGUUCAUCCAAGUUUCGUUUUACAUAUUAUUUCAUUCAAUUCAUAACAUUUGCAUAUCUAGCCAGGCUAGGAUUUUCUUAGGAAAACAAAUUCACUUUAGAUAAUUUAGUUUCGGUUAAGGUCAGAAUAAAUAAAAUUGAACUAAAUCAAUCUCUGUGGGAUAAUAUUCGAACUCAAUUUAUCCACUUUAUUACUUAAUGAAUCGUACACUUGCGGUGGUUUAAAUCGAAAGAAUAAUUUCGUGAACAUAAAGCCCCCGGUUGAUGAUAUGAUACUUGUGAAAUUAUUCAUAAAUCAUAUGAUAAGUCACUCUUCAAGACUUAUCAUCAAUCAAAUGGAGAGCAAGAGAUAAAAAUGGGUAAUGAAGGCCGUUCCAAAGUGGUGAAAAAAUAACAUGUUGAUAUCAUCUUCACUUCUGAAAAACCAUUACUUUGACAAGUGUACUAUAUGUUCAUGAAACAAAUAGGAAUUUAGAGAGUGGAGAUCUCCUAGGAAAAUUGGACAUCAAAAAUAUUUAUGAAUCCGAAAAACUUGUGCUACCCUAAAAUGGGAAAUUUGUUGAAAAUGACCAUUCUUGCAAAGGAAUGAUCAAGUUAUAUAUUUUUGACAAUAUUAAUAGUAGAAAAUUCAAUUUUGCUUACUUGAUCAAUUCAUUUUUUUUAUUGUAUGUUAAAUUAGGUCACAUAGGCAUUAAUUGUGAUAUGAUUUAAUACGAUGUGAAUAAUGCUUACGUUCGGCUCAGAGAGCACUUUUUCCGUUGAGAAUUCCUCGUUCUCUUUUGUGUGAAUUCCCCAGAAGUGAAUUCGAAAUUUGUAGAGCCCUCUCUAUUCCAUCUCUUGAACCCCAAAGAAAACCCCUAGAGUCUGAAGAAAAGGGCCCCAUUAAUCUAAUUAUAGGGCUGCAUUUAUCAUAAGUGACCACUGAAAAAAGUGUAGAAUCUAAAAUAGUUAAGAAGCCAUAUUAAAUUUUGUUCAUGACAUCUCAAAAUUUAGAACUUAUUGAUUUGAUCAUAUGUAAACUUAAUGGCAUGUUACCUAGAGGUGAAAAUUGAUAUUUCAUUACCUUUAUAUAUGGUUACUCUAGGUAUACUUAUGUUUAUUUAAUGAAACAUAAAUGAAACAUUUAAUAUAUUCAAGACUUAAAAAAAUGAAGUUGAAAACCACUUAAAUAAGAAAAUAAAAAUGCUUAGAAGUGAUAGAGGAGGAGAAUAUUUCUCUAGUGAACAUUAGUUGAAAUUAUAAAUGCCAUGUUAACAUAUGCUAAGUUGCCAUUUAACUUAUAGGGUGAAUCUUUGUUGAAUGUAUGUACAAUAUUAAAUAGGAUUCUUUCAAAAUUUACAGAGGUUUCUCCAUAUGAAUUGUGAAAAUUGAAGAAAAAUAAAUAUUGGAUACUUCAAAAUGUGGGGUCUCUUAUAUAUUGUAAGAAUACGGACCCUAAAAUGACCAAGUUGGUCCAAGAGGCAUUAAUUGUGCUGUUGUUGGAAAUGAUAGUAAUGGCAAAUCAUAUAGAUUAUCGAAUCUGGAAACCAAUGUGAUAAUUGUAUCAAAUAAUGUGGAGUUCUUUGAGAAUUCACUAUCUUCAAAUAAUAAAUUAAAGGAAAUCCAUAAAGAGAUUCCUAGCAUUAAUGGAACACAAGAUAAAACAUCUUUUAAAGAUGUUAAUGAAUCUAGUGAGGCUCAAAGAUGCAAAAUAACUCAAAUAGAAAAGACUUUAGGAUCGGAUGAAAUUGACUCUCAACUCGUUUCACUUUACUUAGUAGAAGAAAAUGAGAAGAAUGUUGUAAGAACAAAACAUUUUGUUUUAUAAGUGGACAUUGAUCUUAAAACCUAUAGAGAAACUAUCACUGCUCGUGAUAGUAUUUUUUCAAAAGAUGCAACUAAAGAUGAGAUAUAUCCAAUUAUGUCAAACAAUACAUGGGAUCUUGUCAAUUUACUUAUUGAGACUAAACCUAUUGAUUGUAGCUGGGAGUUUGGAGGAAAUAGAAUAUAGAUUGUUUUCUCAAUAUCUUUAAAGUUGGAUUGGUAGCUAAAGGUUAUCGACUAAGGGAAGGAAUUGACUAUUUUAAUACAUAUGCACAAGUAGCUAGAAUUGCAUCAAUUAUGAUAUUAUUCGCACUAGCGUCAAUACAUGACUUGUAUGUUCAUCAAAUGGAUAUCAAAAUGGCAUUUUUAAAUGGGGAUCUUGAUGAGAAAGUUUAUAUGGAACACCUGAUGGGUUUGUCAUGCCUUUAAAUAAACACAUGGUGCACAAUCUAUUAUUUCAUUUGGAUUUUCACAUAAUAGUGUAGAUAAGUAAUUAUAUUCGAAAGUAUGUGAUAAAUAUAUUAUAUUUAUUUGCUUGUAUGUUGAUGCCAUGUUGAUUUUGAAUAAUCACGUGGAUAGAAUAAAAGAAACAAAGAGAUUUAUAUCUUCAACAUUUAAGAUGAAGGAUCUUGGACAAAUGGAUACUAUAUUAGGUAUUAGAGUUCCUAAGAAUAUUGGGUGUUACUAUUUUAGUCAAUCGCAUUAUAUUGAGAAUAUGAUAAAUAUAAGUUCAAAUAUUUGAAUGUAAAAGAGUAUAGUACCCCUUUUGACUUAAGUUCUAAGCUUAUACUGCAUGGUGGAAGAGCAGUCGUUCAAUUGGAGUAUUAAAAAUGCUAUAGUGAGUCUUAUUGCACAAAAUUGGACAUAUUGUUUGCGAUUAAUAAACUUAGUAGGUUUAUUAGUAACUUGAGUAAGGAACAUUGGAAGGCCAUCAGGUCUUCAAUAUUCUAUGUUCGUGACUAUAUUAGAAAGAUUUACUAACGUUAAUUGUAUAUCAAGUACUGGUGAGAGUAAAUCUAAUUCAGGACGGGUGUUUACUCUUGUAAGAUGUGCAAUUUCUAAAUUCAGCCAUGGAAUCUGAAUUCGUGGCAUUAUCAGAUACUAAAAAAGUAGUUGAAUGGCUUAAGAAUCUACUAUAUGAGAUACAUUUGGGAUUGAAAAAUAUAUCUUCGAUAUCUAUUAUGUGCAAUAGUCAAGCAACAUUAGCAAAUGUAUACAAUGAUAUAUACAAUGGAAAAUCUAGACAUGCGAGGUUAAGACAUAACUACGUAAGGAAAUUAAUCAAGAGUGAAAUAAUUUUUCGAAAUUACUUCUAGUCAAUUGAGAACUUAGCGGAUCUUUUAACUAAACCUCCGAAUAGAGAUUUAGUUAUAUCUACUUCGAGUAGGAUGGGGUUAAAACUCUGAAACUAAAAAGAUCCAACAAUGUUGGCAACCAUACAUUUUAUUACUAAAACAGUAAUCCAGGGGUUUAAAGGGUAACAACAAGUCAUUAGAUAAGAGGAUAGUUUUAACAUUAUAAUUCUCGUAAGAAUCCUAUCCUAAUUAUAUAAUGUUGGUUGUUACUUAAAGGAGGGUUGAACGUUAAAGCUUUUAAUGAAGACUUCACAUAGAUGAACUUUGAGGUGGUGCCGCUUCAAUAGAGACUUGGAGUUUCUCUUAAAAGUUCAAUGAAUAGGAAGAGUGAAAUGCCAUCUUAGCGCGAAGUGAGUUUGAGGAAUUUGUAAACACAUGACAUUUGUGUUUCUGUGUGUUUUCACCGGCAUUAUUACAAAGAAUAAUUGGUGCAAAGCUAUCAUGCUACCUUUAAUUUGAUGAUAAUUUGUGAAAAUUACACUAUGAUUAUAUUCAAAUCGAAAGAUAUCUAAUCCGUAUUCAUAAAUGUUGCUAUUUUGAAUAGUUGUACCAUUAUACAGUUGAACAAGUAGGGGAUUGUUGUAAUUUGGUCUUCAAUUUAUAAUUAUAAAUUGGCAUAUAGCGCAAGUACAAAAAUAUCGAAAUUAAACGAUCAGAAAAAAAUUGAGAAAUUGAAAUUUGGAGAUCGCCCAGGCUUAAGGCUGGGCGAUUGCCCACCUUGUUUUCAAUGACCUGAUGCCAAAACCUGAUUGUCUAUGCUCAUUUUUUUACCAUUGGGUUUGAAAUUUUUGGUUCAUUUUUAGCACAUUUUCAUGAAAUAAUCCAUCUUUUCAUGAAUCAUUAAGGCAUUUUCAUGAUGUAUGAAUGAGAAUCUAUAUAUAUGAGGUAAAUUUCAUUCCUCUAAACAAUAAUUAAACAACCAACAGUUGAGAUCAUUCCAUAUUGAAAGAGCUUAAUCAAAGUAUCUUUACAUAUUCAAACAUCCUUUGUGUUCUAUAAGUUUUGGAAGUACUAGUACUUAAGGGUUUUCUUCUUCAAUACUUAAUCAAUCCUACAGAUCAUUUGCCAAUAGUCCCUUUAAGCACCAAUUCAAUUUAGAGAGGAAAAAUGUCAUUUGAGUACAACGAUGUCGUGUUUGAGCCUUUCCACCUUAUUUUUUUGUGUUCGUAAUUCUUCAUCUUGUUCUCUUCUCUAUUUCCCUUGAAGGAUAAUAUUCCAACAAAUGCUUAUUAGAUUCAGCCAUGUAAUCAUCAAUUUUUGGGUAUUUAGUCGACCACCCUUCAUGAAGUAAUGCUGAAUUUAUUUUCUUCUUAUGUUAUAAUUCCUAUUCUGAAAGUCAAACGAACAACCCUUGUGGAGAAUUGGUCUGUUGACUAGCUUUAAAGACAUUCUUUAUAUACAAUUGCAAGUAUUUUUAACCAUUCCUCUAUUCUUAGAAAUUGAUCUCCUUUUCUCUUAAAUCUUCAUCAUCUCAUUUUUUUCAUUUCUCCUUCAAGCAUACAGUUAUGAUUUCAGAGAGAGAAAAUCUGAAAGGUCGAGAGAAGAAAGAAAGAAAAUACAUUUUGUUGCAUUUCUAUAAAUAUUUUAAGGAAAUCAAACAUACAAACUUUUUCAAGAAAGAUAUUAUAACAAAGUUGAGGUAAUACAUAAGUAUAAUUUAUACACUUAUCUGAACCUUUUAAUAUGAAUAUUUGAGAAUACUUUUGAUGAAUUAUAACUUAAUCUCAUGUAUUUAUUGUUUGUUAGGUAAAAAUCAAUGAUUGAAAGUGAAAUUGGAAAAGAAGAAUGAAAAAUCAGUGAAAAUGAUGAUUUUCGAAGUUUGGGACUAAAUUGCAAAUAUUCAAUAAUUGAUCGGACCACAUAUUGAUAAUUGACGAAUAUAGAGAGUCAAUUCGACAAGAAUGGAAGGAAAGAAACUGAAAUUGUACGAAAAAAGGACCAAAUGAACCCUAAAAGAAGUUCAGGACAGUUGGUCACAAAGUUCCUAAUGCAAUGUGUGAGUAGGGCGAGUUUUUGUAGAAACCGAAAGCAAUUCAUGUAAGCCACGCAUAAGCAUGAAAGUAUACCAUGCAUGCAUUUGAGUAGACAAGAACUUUUCUUCUAUAGUUGAAACUCCUUUUGGAAACUAACUUCGAACGAUUUGUCAGUCUUAAUUCGACCCUUAUAAAUAUAGAACACAUCUCAAUGCCUCUGACUACCUAUCAUAUCAUAUAAUUCAUAAAAUAUUGUAAUCAAAGAGAGGCAAAUCAUCAUUCUUUUAGGAAAAUGAAGAUGUAAGCUACAAUAAUUCAAUCCUUUGAAAAUUCGGCCUUGAUUUUCGUGCAAACUACAAAUCAAGGUUUGCUUUUUGGUCCCUGUAUCCUUCUCUUGGUUUGCCUCAAGUCACUUCCUGAUUGCAUCUUUAGUUCUUAAUCCACAAAUUAUUACCGUAUAAUCUUCAUUCUUCACAAUCAUAUGUAAUUGAUACGAUGCAAGAUUCGAAUGUUUUCAAUUGUGUCCCCAAACUUCUCAAAUAUUGGAUUUAGCUCCCAAAAUUUAUGAAUUUUCUCCAACUGCUUUAUUAAUGCUUCUUAUUGAUCAUAUACAACUGCUCCAAAUAAGUAGCUCAAAAUGCCUGUCUUAUGACAAUUGCCUUCAACUUAGGAUUUCCUACAAUAACAUAUUUAAUGCAAAUUAGGUUUUUAUCUGUUCAAUUUAUAAAUAAUCGAUUUCAGAUUACACUUAUCAAGUUCAAAUAUCGUCCACUUGUUUUUCUCUUUUACUUUACUAGGAAUUCAUUCAAACUUAUAUGUUGAAUCUCUAGUUUGAUGUUAAUAUAAUGCAGUUUUAGUACUGUUUAACUCAACUUCUGAAUAUCAUUCUGAAAUGUCCAUGGAAGGUCGAGCUCGACUCCACUAAAUAAGGUGUAACUUUUGUUUUUACUCAUAAAUUCUCCAUCCUCAUUUAUCUUUAUUCGAAAAAGAUUUCCAAUGCACAGAUGGUUUGACUAAAAACUGUCAGCAUGACUUAAAUAGAGUAUUAGUUAAAAUGAAUAGGGUUUACAUGUUAGAUUCCUACUUGGCCUCUCACUUUCUUGUAAUUGACUAGGGAAGCUGAGACAAAAUUAAACAAUUUAAAUGGCAUAUAUCAUUUCUUGGACCGACUCAUUCAGAUUCUUCCAACCCACAUUUCUUCCUUUAUUUAUAAGUCCCGGAAAAAAUUAUUAUUAUUAGAUUGAAUUCCAAACCCUGAUUCCCGAGGAAAAGUUGACAUUAAAACCUACUGUCUAAUAUAAAUAACGCUUGCCUUAAUUAAUUAUACGAUUAGUAGUCCAGUUCCCAUUGUAAACUACAUAUAAUAUGCCUUUGGUCUUCCAAUUUGUUCCGUGUUGAUCGCUGAGACAUAAUUUCUUAAUAAAUAAAAAUAAAAAACACGUAUAAAUACGAAAACAAGAGAUUAAACAUAAAAGAUUACUGUCAUUUUGUUCAAAGGCUGCCUGGAAUCCUAGGAGAAUUCGAUUUAAAAUAUGUAGUUCUUGUCUGUUUUCUGCACUUAGAGAUCUAGUUUACAAAUUAUAAAGGUUGAGAUUUUUAUUUUAUUUUUUCCUUAGGAUUCAAUGCAGCAGUUUCUAGUCAAAUGUAUCGUGAAUAUAGAUUGUCCAUUAUGGUAGAAGUCAAGAUUUCACAAUAGAUGUGUAAAGUCUAACACGUUUAAUAUAUUACCAUUUGUAAUAAAUGGUACCCGUUGAAUAUAAUGGGGUUUCAUUAAAUUAAGAUUUGAAUGACCAAAAAAAAUGCAGUGUCUUGGAAUCAUUCGAGCAUCACUUAAAAAGUAAAGAGUGGUAGGUCAAAUGGUCGAAUUUGUUCGAGCUGGUACUUGACUUGUUAAUAUAGCUUUCACAUUUUUUCCCGCAAAAUGGAUACACUUUUCAAACCGAUUCCCAAUUUUUCUAAUUAAUUGAUUGGUCUGUCCGAUUUUCAAAAUAAUGUAAAACGUGGAAUUGUAGGGUUAUAAUUUUGACAUUCUCUAUGUGAUUAAUAAUAAAUGUAUUUCAAACACUUAUUUGGGACUUUAAAUAAUGAUAUUUUAUAGCUCUUUUGAUGAAAUGUACCCUAAUUUGUGUUAUACGUCUAAUAGGUAAAACUCAUGAACUGAUGGAGAAUUGGAGACAACAAGCGAAAAACAGACUAAAAGGCUAAAGCAAAACUAUAGAGAUUAAAUUGCAAUAUUUGAAUAGUCACGUCGGGACAUAAAAUGAAGAGUGAAGAUGCUACACGCUCAAUUGGAGGCAAUUGGAAGCUAAAGGUAUGAAAUCACAAUUGAAAGGAUAAAAAAUGCAUUGCGAAAAGUUCAGGGACCAAUUUGUAAAAUUCGUCCCAAAAAUUUGUACUAAACUUAAGCAUAGACCUACAAGCCUUGCAUACAAGGUCUCGAAAAUUUCUACCUGAGACUAAAUCACAUGUAUUGUGUUUAAGCACCAAAUGAAUCAUGCUUAAGCAUGAUUCAAUUCUGAGAAAAAAAAAUUGUUUUCUUAUCUUUUUUUUUUUUGUUUAACAAAAACUUUUGAUAUACAAUCUUUUGACACCAUAUAUAUACUAGAAGUCGUCAAAAACGUGAGGAACCCCCCUUUGUAAAAAAAAAAUUUUUUUUUUUUUUUUUUUUUUUUUUUUUUUUUUUUUUUGAACUUUUGAUAUACAAUCUUUUGACACCAUAUAUAUACUAGAAGUCGUCAAAAACGUGAGGAACCCCCCUUUGACCUAAAACUCACAUAUUCUAAGUAUUUUAGAGAAAAAGAACAUGCGAAAUCAUCAACUAAGGGCAAAUUAUAUAAGUUUAUUGAAGAAUAUUCAUCCAUUUUUCAAGUUUCAAGCCAUGAAAUUGGAUUUUUCCACUUUUUUCAUUAUUUUUCGAUGAGUAAUGUCUUUUCAUUAUUUUUUUCAUAGUUUAAUAAUUAGGAUGAUUGACUAGGUUUUCAAAUUGUAUUGGAUGAAUGUUUGAAACCUAUUUUCAUUUAUUUCAAUUCAAGAUUUCAAUUUAGGAAUUUCAUGUUAUUGUUUGAUAGAUUUUACAUACCGAUUGCCCUACUUAUUACCUGAUCACCAAUUAAAUAGUUAGUUUUUCAUUAUAGUAUAGAAGUAUGCACAAUGAAUCUAGAAUACGGUAAAAAUCAACAUAUGCAGUUAGAAUUAAGACUAAUCUCUCUCACAUAGCAAUCUUAUCGAUAAUCUAAACUAAAUGCAUGACUUUCAAAUGAAUUCAGACUAGGGAUAUGAUUGUCUAAUGUUAGUCAUAGAUUGGUGUAUCUUGAAAAAGACAUUUAAUAUAUUAGCUCUAUCGGUUGUCAAAAUGCUUGAAUUGAAUAGAAUGAUUAUUGAGAACUGAAAUAAAUGGAAAUAGGGGGAUACAUGAAUCCAAUACAAGCAUUCACAUUAGAUAUAAUUACUUUUUAUCACUUUUUUAGAGUAGAAUUUGAUUAAAUAACAAACAAAUUACAACUUUUUUGAUGUCAUCACACUUCAAAUUUAAUAAUAGUUAUUGAACUACAAAUUAGACAUUAUUUCUCAUGCAAACGAUGCUCGUAACUCACAAAUCUUAUUACUUGUACAAUGAACCCGUAUGUUUGCAGAUUUUUGUUUGAACAAAUUUUUAGCACCAUUGUUGGGAAAUAACGAAUUUAAUUUUAGUUUAGUAGUUUAUAUUAGCUUUGAUUUUUCAUAUUUAUUUAUUUAUGUUAAUUUUGGCUACCCACCUUAGCUCUCUAUGUGGUAUUCUUUCCAAGUACCCUUCAAUAGUGAAUCUAUAAUUUUGACGCUAGCAUGGUAAAAAAAUGUUAUAAAUAAUCUCAACAUGAACUAUAAGGAAGAAAAUAUCUAUUAUGAAUUCUGUCAUGGGUGCAUUAUACUGGCUACUGCUUGGAUACAUGCACUGAUCCCUAUCAGCUCAAUCUCAUACAGUUUAAACAAUAUUUAAGAUGUCAAAGUCUAGCAAUUGACAUAUCUAUUGAAGGCUACACGCCUGUGAGCAAGUGUCUCCUUUCCAAUACACUUGUGGGAUUUGGUCAUUCUAUGUUAAACAAGGAUGUGCUUAUAAAAUACAACACUGAUCUUGCCAAGUUAGAUGAAAACAAAUUGUGUAGAAGGGGAUGGCGUAUUAUGGUUUGAAUUUAAAAGGCCGAAAUAUAAUCCACUCAAAAAUUUUGAAAGAAAAUAUUAUUCAUGGCCCCAUAGAUUUAGAUUGUGAACCAGCCAUUCAACUUAAAGAGGUAUCAAUUAUGGAAAAUGAUAACAAAUAUGAUGAAAGUUCAAUUACAAACGAAAAAAUGAAGAGAAGGCAAUUAAUGAAGAACACGUUAACCCACAUUUUGUCGACUUCAUUGAUUGCCCUAUCAUUGAAUUUGUGAUUAAGCCUAAAGAGGAGGAAGAAGUUUACAUAGUUGAAUUUGAAUCGGAUGAGAUAGGCAAGUCAUGUCACAUUUGAAGGGCCAGUGUUAAAAUUUGUAAAAGCAACGAAUAGUGGAGCAAAGUCAAAAGAGGCAAACUGAGCAAGGCAUUCAAAGCGUGAGUAAUUAUACUUUAACAGGGGCCAUAAUAGGCCCAAUAAAGGGGCACCAAAUAGACACCCUGUCAUAGGGGCCUUGUCACACAAGCGCUGCCUUCAAAGCAUUAUUCUGAAUUCUAUGAUGUCGAAACAAUAAAGUCAAGUUAAGGAAUUUAAACAAAGUGCUUAUUGGAAGGCAACCCAAUCUUUCUUCCAUUUUAUUUAUCAUGCUUUCUAGUCAUAGGAUAAUUUAGAUUAGCUAUUAAUUUUAAUUAGGGGCUCAUCAUCCAUUUUCCAUUUUCCCUUAGGUCAUCGAGAUUUAGUUGCUUUGUUAGAUAUUUGAGUUAAGUAACACUUGUUUCAGAUAUUUGAUCUUAAAUGUUUUAUUUAAUCAUAAUGUACAGGAACAUGACGCUGCAGAACACUUAAACCAACAAUGGCCGAUAAGAAAAAGGGGAGAAGUAGGAAAAGGUAGCUAUUGGAUUUCACAUGCAUAUCAGGGGAGUAUUUUCUUCAUUUUAUUUCCCACCUUGUUAUAUGUGGAUUUAUAAUUUAAGACAUUGAAAAAAAUGUCUACUUUAAGUUUGGGGCUGGCAAUGAUGAAUAUAUUGAAUUAUGAAUUGAUUUAUGAAUAGUGAAUAGGUUGCAUACAUAUGUUAAAUUCUACCUUUCCAUGGAAGUUUGACAUAUAUUGAGCAUGUGAAUUAAGUCACGCAUUAUAUAGGAAAGAAUUGAUUUUAUAUUUGGAUAUGUUAAACCCAAAACCACUAAAUUUUACAUCUUUAGACCAAAUUUAGAAUAGUUUGGAGAGAUUUCACUAUUUUAGGGCAAAAGUUGAUAUAAAUAGGGAUUCCAGAUGUGAAAUUAAAAAUUUUGUGUGGAUUAUCAAAGGUCAAUAGGAUGAAAUUGGGUGAAAAUCUCAAAUUAGAUGUCGGUGUAGUUGGAUAGGUGUUUAAUGAGGGACAUCAUACUAAUUAAGUCAUAAAAAAUAUUUUAUUUGGAAAUUUGUUUUCGUAGCUUUUAUGACUCGGUUAUUAAGCUUGUAAUGAUGUUAAAACUUGUUGUUCUAGAGUCAACUGAUUUGGGAGUCAUUGACCUAAAGCACACUAAAUAUGUCAUUUAGAAAGCUUAAAGGGGGAAUGCUGUACAUAAAGAAAAAUAUUGUUGAAACAAAAAUUGAAAAAAAAUAGAAAGAAAAACAGGUGCAUUAAAUAGAAGACGCAUCAAAUGUCUUGGUUAAGUUUCAAACACUUGUUUAAAAAAAAAAAAAUUACUUUUGAUAAGGAAUUAUUUGUCUAAUUGAGUUAUGGAGAUUGAAACAAUCAAACUAUAGAGAAUCAUUGCUUAUUAACAUAUCGACUUGUAAUUAGUGAGAUUUGCCUAAUAUUAAGAGAUGAAGAUAGUUUAUAAAUUCAACCUUAGGCCAUACCUUGAAUAGAGUCAAAAGAAAAGUUUGGGGUGUGAAUCUCACAAGUGAGGAUAAGAACUUAUUUGAUUAUUAAGGGUUGGGAAUGGAAUAAUUUAUGAAUUCAUGAUGUUAUACUUAAUUCUUCACAUGUACACAUGUUGACUUUAAGUUGGAAUAAUAAACUUUGAUUUUUGAAUUAUUAUCUUGAAGCCGUGCUUAGAUUUAAUACCAUGAUUUCAAUUAUGAGGUAGAAUGUCAGGUUAGCUAGCUAAAUAUUUUUGCAUAAUUUCAUGUUUGUUUUUAAGUUAAAUUAUGGUUUUAUUUGAAGACAAAUAAAUGUUUAAGUUUGGGGGAUAGACAAGUGUAUUUUAUAUUUUUAUUUGGGGCUUUAAAUAAUGACAUUUUAUAGCUCUUUUCAUUAAAUGUAGCCUAAUUUGUGUUAUAUUGUGUCUAAUAGGUCAUUAAUUGAUGAGGAAUUGGUGAAAACAAGCGAAAAAAAUUGAGAAAAUGGCUAAAUUGAAACAAUGUGGACUAAAUUGAACAUUUCAAUAGUCACAUUGGGAUAUAAAAUGAAGAGUGAAAAUACUACAAGCUCAAUUGGAGACAAUUGAAAGCUAAAGGGGCGAAAUUUAAAAAAAAAAAUUGACUUUUGAUAAGGAAUUAUUAGCCUAAUUGAGUUAUGGAGAUUGAAACAAUCAAACAACAAAUAAUCAUUGCUUAUUAACAUAUUGACUUGUAAUUAGUGAGAUUUACCUAAUACAAAGAGAUGAGGAUAGUAUAUAAAUUCAACAUUAGGCCAUACACUUGAAUAGAGUCAAAAGAAAAGUUUAGGGUGUGAAUCUCACAAGUGAGGAUAAGAACUUAUUUGACUAUUAAGGGUUGGGAAUGGAAUAAUUUAUGAAUUCAUGAUGCUAUACUUAAUUCUUCACACAUACACACAUUGACUUUACGUUGGAAAAAUAAACCUUGAUUUUUGAAUUAUUAUCUUGAAGCCAUGCUUAGAUUUAAUACCAUGAUUUCAAUUAUGAGAUAAAAUGUCAGGUUAGCUAGCUAAAUAUUUUUGCAUGAUUUCAUGUUUGUUUUUAAGUUAAAUUAUGGUUUCAUUUGAAGACAAAUAAAUGUUGAAGUUUGGGGGAUAGACAAGUGUAUUUUAUAUUCUUAUUUGGGGCUUUAAAUAAUGACAUUUUAAAGCUCUUUUCAUUAAAUGUAGCCUAAUUUGUGUAUAUUGUGUCUAAUGGGUCAUUAAUUGAUGAGGAAUUGGAGAAAACAAGCGAAAAAAUAGAGAAAAUGUCUAAAUCAAAACAAUGUGGACUAAAUUGAACAUUUCAAUAGUCACGUUGGGAUAUAAAAUGAAGAGUGAAAUUACUACAAGCUCAAUUGGAGGCAAUUGAAAGCUAAAGGGGCGAAACUACAAGUGAAAUGAUCAAAAAUACAUUGCAAAAAAUUACAAAUUGACCCUAAAAAUUUGUACCAUGCUUAAACAUAUGCCAGCAAGCCUUGCGUAAGCAAGGUCUCAAAAAUUCUUAUCUGAAGCUAAAUCACAUAUAUUAUGCUAAACCACCAAAUGAACCAUGGCAUGGUUCAAUUUCAGGAAAAAAUUGUUUCCUUAACUUGUUUGAAAACUUUUUAUAUACAAUCUUUUGACAUUCUAUAUAUGUCAAAAGCUGUCCAAGACGUGGACUUCCCCCUUUGUCCUAUAAAUCACAUAUUUUACAUAAGAACAAAGCGAAAUCAUCAACCAAAGGCAAAUUAUACAAAUUUAUUGAAGAAUAUUCAUCCCCUUUUUAGGUUUCAAGCCAAUAUAUUGGAUAUUUUUUUUCACUUUCUUCAUUAUUUCUCAAUUUGGAUGAAAUCUUUUCAUUAUUUCUUGUAUAGCAAUAAUUAGGAUGGUUGGCUAGUUUUUCAAUUGUAUUGGAUGAAUAUUUGAACCUUAUUUUCAUUUAUUUCAAUUCAAGAUUUCAAUUUAGGAAUUUCAUGUUAUUGUUUGAUAGAUUUUAUAUACCGAUUGCCCUACUAUUACUUGAUCAACAAUUAAAUAGUUGGUUUUUCAUUAUAGUAUAGAAAUACUCACAAAGAGUCUAGAAUGCGGUAAAAUCAACACGUGUAGUUAGAAUUAAGAAUAAUCUCUCUCACACAUACAAUCUUAUUGAUAAUCUAAGGCCCCGUUUGAUUGUGUAAAAUUUUCCAUGGAAAAUGAAAAAUCAAAUCCAUUUUUCAUUUUUGCCUUGUUUGAUACCAUUUUUUUCCAGGGGAUCCAUUUUCUAGCUUGUUUUGGGAAGAAGCAAAUUCCAGCUUUUAAAGGAAUUGGAAUGCCCACCAUAUAUGGUGAGAAUUCCGAUUUCGGUUUACUGUAGUGAUUUUUUAUUUUAUUUUUUUUCAUUUUUUUUCAAUGAAAAUAAAUUGUAAGAAUUAUUGUAAAAUAAUAUUUCUCUUUACUUGACAAUUUUCAUGUAAAACGAAGUCAAACGAACACCAAAAGAUAGAUGAUUUUCUAUAAUUUUUAUUAUUAUUUAUUUAUUUAUUUUUGGGUUUGGAAAUGGAAACAAAUUUCAUUUUCAAUACCAGCAAAUUCCAUCAAUUUAAUUGACAAUUUUAAUGUAAAACAAAGUCAAACAAACAUAAAAACACUUUUAUUUCAGCAUUUUUCACGUGAAAAAAUUAUAUCAAUCAAAUAUAAUAAUUUACAAUUCCCAGAAAAAUAAUUUUAGGCAAUUUAAUUCCCUAAAAUUCAUUUUCUAGACAAUUUAAUUUCAUCUUUGCAAUCAAAUGAACCCUAAAUGCAUGGCUUUCAAAUGAAUUUAGACUAGGAAGAUGCAUCGUCUUGUGUUAGUCAUAGGUUGGUGUAUCUUUGGAAAACGGCAUUUAAUAUAUUAGCUCUAUUGGUUGUCAAAAUACAUGAAUUGAAUAGAAUGAUUAUUGAAAACUAAAAUAAAUGGAAAUAGGGGGAUACAUAAAUCCAGUACAAGCAUUCACAUUAAAUUUAAUUACUUUUUAUCACUUUUUUAGGGUAAAAUUAGAAUAAGGGUCCCUUUGAUUACAAGAAUGAAAUUUGGAUGGCAAGAAAACGAAUUCUAAGAAAUUGAAUCACCAUGAACUUGUUUUACUGAGAAUUCUCAAAUAAACGUGUUUGAUUAAUAUAAUUUUUUACCUGAAAAAUGUUGGAAUUAUGGAUAUUUUAGUGUUCAUUUGAUUUUGUUUUCCAUGAAAAUUAUCAAUUAAAGAGAUAGAAUUUGUUACAAUUGUAGAUAGAAUUUAUUUCUAUUGCAAAAAAAUAAAAAAAUAAAUAAAUAAUUAUAAAAAAAAAUUAAUAACCUAGAAAAUUGAUUUCCCAGCGAACCCAUAAGAAAUAAAAUUUAACAAAACCAAGGAAAAUUGGUCACCUGGGGAUCUAAAAUCAGUUGCCAAGAAAAUUCUUGUAAUUAAACAACGAAAAGGUAUUUUUUCCAUUUUCCAUGGAAAAUUCCUCAAAUCAAACAGACCGUAAGUAACGAACAAAUUUCAAUUCUUUUGAUGUCAUCACACUUCGAAUUUAAUAGUAGAUAUUGAAUUACAAAUUAGACCUUAUUCCUUUUGAGAACAAUAUUCUUAACUUGCAAAUAAUAUUAUCUGUACAAUAAUCUCGUACCUUUCGAGUUUUGUUUGACCAGUUACAUACAAAAUAUACCCUUUCAGUAUUAAAUGUGCAUGUAUAAUAUGCUACGUUGACAUUGGAAAGCAUAAGCAUGUUUCAAAUCAUUGAUUGACUUAUUUGUGUGAAUUAAAUACUUUCAGAUCAUUGGAAUCAGAAAGAACGUGUAGUAGUCCAACACAAAUUGUUACAGAGUUUGAACAAAAUGUAGAUUAUCUUUUAUUCUAAUGGGAUUAUCUUCCAUUUAUGCGUAGGCAUCGUGAUACCUUCAAAAACAUUAAAUGAUAGCUUAUAUAAAAUUAAUAUAUAUGUUGUGACAAAUGCACUUCAAAUUGACACUUAUUGUAAUGAUAAUCUGCUCAUAUCCAAUUUUUUAAGAUGACAAGAGGGGGAAAAUAAGAAAAAUACAAAUUCUUUAAGAUUUGCUGUUCUGGGUCCAACUUAUGGAAUGUCCACCAUAUUGUCAAAUUCUUAAAUGAAAAGGGGGGGGGGGGGGGGAAUUGAAACUAAACAUAGAGAAGACUAUGAUUAUAAUUAAUAAUGAAUACUUCAUGUCGUAAGCCCAACUUUUGAAGUGCAAUUGAGUUUUUAAAUGCGAUUCUCUAUAUGACUAUUCAUAAAAGUUGUGUAAGAUUUUGGCAUUUCAUGAAAAAAUCAAUCUUGUUUGAUAUGAAAAAUGUGUUAAAGAUAAAGUUUAAGAGAUGUUCAUGAGAAUUUAAAUUUUACAUAAAACGAAUCAACAACACUGUCAAAUAGUUACAAGUACGAGUAUUGAUGAAGAGGGAACUACUAAUCCUCCCGAACAUUCUAAAAGAAAAUAAAAGAAGAAAGAAGUAAUUGAACACAUUUACAUCAUACUAUACUAUAGAACUAUUUAUUUAUUCUUUUUUUUUUCAAGUAGACUUGAAAAAAAUUAAAAAAUUCUUAUCAAGAGUAGUUCUCAUAUGUUUUUUUUUUUUUUUUUUUUUUUUUUUUUUUUUAUAUGACUCAGGGAUGUCAAUUACGUAGAAAAACUGCUAAAACUAAUUGUUAAUAUUGUUAGUAAUUAUAUUAUUAUUACUACGCUAAUUGAGGAGAGUUGGAAAAGUGGAUCCAGUGUUAACAAUGAAUAUAAAUUAAUAAAAGAGAUUAAAUAGAACCCUUGUGAUGGACAGAGCGUAAAAAAACUAUAAUAAAAAAAGACAUUAAUAAAGCAUGUGUUUUUGAGCAAUUAGAUGUGUUAGAGAAUACUUACAUGAUUUAGUCCAUGAAUUUUGUAUUUUUCACUAUUAAUCUUUUAGAAAAUUGUUUAUAAGCGUGUCAAUAGACUAAUUAAGCCCGUCCAACGAGACGCAUGUAUAAGCUAAACAUGAUCAGUAAAGUUGGUUGUACAUGGCCUUGUACUAUCAAGGACGCCACAUGGUGCCCCUAUAGGUGAGGGGCCCACGAUGGUAGUACAGGGCCCAUGUGACCCUGUACAACCAACAAGGUCCCACAAAACAUAACAUCAUGUCGGACUAGUAGACCUGGUUGUCUUUUCAUAAAUUUUGGGGCAUCUUGACAAGACUAUUCAUAGAGUAUCUUCUGUAUAAUAUAGUUUUUCCAAAUUUAGAGAGUAAAUUUUCUAUAUAUUUCAGCAAUGUUAUCUCUUUUUGCUCUUUAUUUUUUUCCCUCUAAAAAUAUUCAUUGGUUUCUCCUCAUAUAUUAACACACUUUUUUUAUAUGUCGAUGGCCAUUCAAUUCAAAUAUAUUAAAUUACAUUUGAAUAAUUUAAAAAAUAUAAUCUUGAAAUAUGUAGAUCAUUAAAUGUAAUCAUUACAAAAUAAAACAGAGAGUGGGUUUAACUCUACUACUUUAAAAAAUUAAAAUAGAAAGUCUCUUGAAUAUGUUCUUAUUAUUAUUUUUUUAAAAGAAAGAAAACAAAAAAGGAGCCCGUAUAGUACUUGAGCUUGAAAUCACUUGAGCUGCUUCUCUAGACAACCUUACCUAAUUUAGACUAGAACAAACAAGGAUCAUGUUACAUGUACGUCAUAUUUGACAUAAAUGUUUACAUAAUACCACAUGACAUUUUAUUAUUAAAUAGUUUAGAACACAAUCAUUUUUUUCAUCCAAUCAUCUCCCACCACAUACCAUUCUAGCACUGCUUCUGAACGGUUUCUUCUAGCGAAGUAAAUUAAUCUGCCAAAAAAAGGGUAGUCUCAAGCCUAAUUAUUUGUUUAUAUUUUAUUUCCCUUGAUUAGCAAUCGACAAAACGUAUAAAUAACCAUUAAACGAAUAAUAGAUUUAACCAGACAUUUUUUAACUUCAAAAGUUGAAAGCCCACACGGUGAGCCAAUAACCCACCAUAGGCUUCACGAUCACGACCUCAAAAAGUCUGGAGGCAUAACCUACGAUUUACCUCCCUCACGAUAUUCCAGGGUAGGGGUGGUGGGGAACCCUUAAGGUUAGGGUUUAACCUUUUGAUCACGACCUCAAAAAGGAUGUUGGAAUAUGUGUCCAUUGAUUAAAUGUGUUGGGGUCUAUCUUAGGGUAAAGAAAUAUGUGGGACAUAAUCGACACUAAUAUUGAGGCAAUAAGAAAAAAGGAAAAGUUAUAAAUUAAAAGAAACAUUUAUCGUUGCAGCUCAUAAACGUACUGUUAAAGGCAUUAAAAGUUUUCGGUCUACGUUCAAGAGAUUAUUGACCAAAAGAUGAUAUCUUUCAAAUUAAAAAAAUAAUAAAUUUAGAACCUGUUUGACAAAGAUAAAAUAAAUUGUUACAUGUUUAGCAGCUUAACACUUUGAAUCGGACAAAAUUUUUGUAUGUAGCAAGAAACGUGUAAAUAAGUAAAAAUUGAUGUGUAACUGUAAAUUAUAUUAGAUGUGUAACUUUUAAUCGGACAAAAUUUGUGUAUGUAGCAAGAAACGUGUAAAUAAGUAAAAAUUGAUGUGUAACUGUAAAAUAUAUUGAAUUUUUAUCAAAAGAUUUUAGAAAAAUAUAUGUGAUGCUUCAAAUGAACUUCAUGGUACUAAACAAGAGGAAUAUAGAGCAUAUUUCAAAUUUAAAAAAUAAAUAAAAGAUAGUUUUACAUAACUUUUUAUUUAUAAAUUAACAAGUUUAAAAUAAGUUAAUUUUUCUUAGGUUUAAGUAAAAUUAUUACUCGUUAGAGAAUAAUCCUUACCUUACCAUUAAGAUAAGUAAAAUACACAUUAAUUUUAAAAUUUACUUACUUAAAUAAACCUUUUAAGUUUAAUGAAACAUGCUUUACAUAUCUCUACGAAUCUCCUUGAUUUAAAUUUUAGUAUCAUAGAAAACAAAAUAUGAUACAUUAUUUUAAUAUUUGAUUUUAAUAUUGUCGAUUCGAUAUUAUCUAAUCUACAAUAAAAAUGUUUAUGAUGCAAACUGCAAAUCACAUUGUAGCCGAACUCUCUGGAACUGAAGUAAAUGCAGUAUUUAUUUUUACAUCUUUUCGUAGGACUUCUAAAGUGCAGUAGAUGUAUCUUAACUAUCUUAUCAUCUGAGUAGUGAGAUGAACCUCUUUAUGAGAAUAACAUCCACGUGCAAUAUUGCUAUUAUUACUUUAUGCAUUAUGUACAGCAAUUUUAAGAGCAUCAACUCUAUAUUUCAGAGAUACACAUUAUGCACCAGAAAAUUUAAUAAAGAAUUUACCAUUCUCUAGAUGGUUUUUUUUUUUUUUUUUAAACCACCGAAAAAGUAAAAAAAAUAAAAAGCCAACAACUAUGAGAGGAGGAGUCGACAAUAAGAUAUCAACAUUAAUUGGUUUUCAUUUCGUGAAAAAACUAUAAUUAUGAUGAAAAAUAAGUUUUUGAGCAGUUAAAAUAGUGGCUUUCGUUGAUCUUUAUCAGGAAAAUAUAAUAUACUAUGAGCUUUCGGUGUUUUUAUUUCCUAAAUUGUCACAUAUUCAUUGAAAAUAAAAAAUAAAAAAUUUAUGCACGUUUCAAUAAUAACUAAGAUUUAUGAUGAAGUUGUUAGAAAUAUAUAUCACUUUAUUUAGACCAAAAUGUGUGAAAUUAAUCAAUAAAAAGCAACACAUCACUUAUUUAUUGUUUCAAGAUGAUUAAGGAUAAUCAUAAAAAGUAAAUAACACAAAAAAUUGAUGACAGAAGAAAGUCCCUUGAAAAACUCUUCACAACGAUAAAAAUCUCGAGGCAAACAUUGCUAAAAAGAUCAACUAGAAAAGCCAAAACCCCUUGAAGCACUCUUCACAAGGAUAAAAAAAUCUAUAGACAAAUCUUGCUAAAAAGAUCCACUAAAAAGCUAAAUUACAAUUGGUCCAACAUUGCUAAACCUUAGCUGAAUUUGACCAUCCAACUUGUAAAUCACCAAAUAACUCUUUGAUUGUGCGAACUACACUUCUCAAAAACUUUCGGCUACUUUUUCCUCCAUGUAGAUUACCAAGAAUGAAUUCGUUCCGGAGUACUAGAACUCCAAGUGCAUUUUCUUCAAUUUCAGAACUUCGAAGGCUUAUAGGUGAAGGUAAGAAUUUUUGGCAUUUGAUCUUUGGUUGAAACAAGAGAAUAAUAGAAUCUACUUGAUGUUCAAAUGUUUUGUUGACUAAAAUUAAGCCUCAACCAAUAACUCAAGAUGUCUUGAAUGACUUAUGAUAAUUUGAUCUUAGGUUGAUCUUGGGUUUGACUCAAGAAAUUUGAUCAUAGGUUGAUCUUAGCAAGUGAUAUUGUAUCGAUUUUUUCACUCCUUCAUGACUUAUUCUACCAAUCCAAAAUUAUUUUCACUUCAAUUACAACUCAAGAAAACAUGAUUUUGGACAUGGGAAUAGCCAAUCAUAGUUUUGACCUAACAAACUUCCCUUUUGACAUUUCGUGACAAAAUCAUUUAUUUUAAAAUUAAAAUAAAAACAAACUAACAUUAUUAACCAAAAGUUAUUUCUCAAACUUCAACUUUAAGAGCUUGUCAUAUAUGUUUCGUGAAACAAGUGCAAAAAAUAAUACCAUGUGUAAAAGUGAGAGGAAAGUGACAAUUAAAAUGUAUAACUAAAUCUUAUAAAAUAACGCAUGUAAACCAUGUUUAAUACCAAAGCAUGUAAUACUAGGUGUAUCAAUAACUUAAAAAUGAAAUAUAGAAUAUCAAUAUCAAAAUUGACAAAACACUAAAGAGAAGAUCAAUAUUACAAUUCCCUUAAAAAAUCUAUCAAAAACUAAAAAAUUUCUACGACGCUACUUAAGUCAAUUAACUCGAUAAACAUCUCCCUAACUCCUAUACAAACUUCCUUGACAUAAAUAAAUACUUAACUAACUCCCUUUUUGUCAUGAAUAACUAAGGAAAACAAGUGAUAAAAUCAUGAAAAACACAAAGACGAAUGAGUGUGUGUGUGUCUAUAUAUAUAUAUAUAUAACACGUGAUGAGAGAGUAAAUUUUUCUUUAUUUUUGAAAUAAUUUUUUUUCAUGGAUUCUUAAAUAUAACAUCAAGAAUUGAAAUAUCAAAUCAUGUGAACAAUUAUUUGCUUACUUAUACAUAUAUAUAAUUCAUAAAAUGUGAACUUUUUCCACCGAAAUCAUUUUAAACCUAUUUGUACUAAAUUGUAUAUGCAAGCCAUGUGUGAAAAGUGCUACUAAUCUCCUAUAAGCAAGACUUAAAACCAAACACUAGUGAGAAUGGAUAUGGAAGGAGAUCACUGAUGAAUGAAUAUUUUCGUCAAAUUAUGAAAGUCAAACCCAGCACUACUAUGACAAUUUAAUCAAAAAGCUCAUAUUUAAUUUUUUAUCAUAUUACUUUUUUUCUCUCUCUCUCUAUUGUGAGCAUAUGUACUUUUUUAUUUUCUAUCUUAUGUGUAUACUUUUCUUCACUAAGCUUAUGAUUUGAUUCCACAAGUGUAUGGAUUGUGACAAAUAAUAUAGUGAAUUUAUCAAGUCCAAGUAUCGUCCCACAGAGACUACUAUUUACUAUCAAUUUUUAAACUAACAUAGCAUCAAUUUAAUUACAAUAUUAACCAAUUUUCAAAUCAAAUUUCAGUUUGUAAAUAAAGACUACUAAAUUAAUUAACUAAAUCAAAUUAACAUGAUUGAGAAGACUAUGAGAUUAUGAACAAUGAAAUAAGAAUUUUCUGUAUUUCUUCAUUGAAUUGUACAAACCUAUUGCACCCUAUUUAUAGUACAACAAUAAAAAAAAAAAUCUAAUUUAGGAUACAAGAAAUUAGCCUAACAAUUCACUUAAGUUAUAGGAAGAUAUAACCAAUUAUAUAUCAAACAUGAUUAAUCAUACAUCGAUCAUGAUUAAUCAUAUAUCAUUCACGUUGGAUCGUUGAUGUUGAUCAUAACCAACUUGCAGAUGAAAUCAUCAAAAUUGUGCCUUGGUAAUCCUAUGGUGAAAAUGUCCGUAAUUUGUUCUUUUCUAUGAACAUAGGUCAUACAUAUAACUCCAUCUUCCACCUUUUCUUUGAUGAAAUAUCAAUUUAUUUCUACAUACUUAGUUCUGUCAUGUUGAACGGAAUUAAAAGAUGUUGAUGGAAACUUUAUUAUCACAGUAGAGCUUAAUCGAUAAUUUUGUUGUGGCCUGUAGUUCUUCUAAAAGUUACUCUAAUCACAAUCCUUCACACAUCCUUUGUGCAACAGCUUUAAACUCAGUCUCAGCACUGUUUCUAGCUACUACAUUCUAUUUUUUUACUUCUCCAAGUGACUAAGUUUCCCCAUAAAAAAGUGCAAUAUUCACUAAUAGACUUUCUAUCCUCAGUUGAACCUGUCAAUCAACACCUGUAAAGAUUUCCACUUCCUUUCUUUCACAUCUCUUUAAAACUAGACAUUUUCCUGGGGUCCCUUUGAGAUACCUUAGUAUCUUGUACACAGCUUCUUGGUGAGCUUCUUUUGGCGAGUGCAUAUGCUGGCUUACCACAUUCACUACAAAGGCAAUAUUAGUUUAGUGUGUGACAAAAAUAGUAGUUUACCAAUAAGCCUAUGAUACCUUCCCUUUCAACUAAUUUUCCUGCAUCUUCUAUCCUUCUUUCGACUUCAAUGGGUAUGUCACUUGACUUACAACUGAGCAUGCCCGUUUCAAUUAAGAAGUCAAUGACAUUUAAUUCUGAGAGAUACUUAACCAUUUCUUCAAUCUAGCCACCUUUAUUCGCAAUAAGUACUGCAUUUCUCCCAUAUCUUAACUUCAAAUUCAGUGGCUAAGACCUUCAAUCUUUCUAUCUGCUUGAUACUAUCUCCAGUUAGGAUGAUGUGAUCCACAUAUAAAAUUAAAAUUAUCUUCUUUCCAUUUUUCUGCUUGUUGAACAUAGUCCGAUCUGAUUGUCCCUAACAAUAACCUUCCCUUUUUAUCACCUUUGGAAAUCUAUCAAACCAUACUCUAAGAGACUGUUUAAGUCUAUACAAGGACUUCCAACUUGCAUACAUUGUUUUUUUUUCUCACUUUUUACAAAAAUCUGGAGGUAGUGUCAUGAAAACCUCAUCUUCUAGUUUACUAUUUAAAAAAGCAUUCUUUAUGUUGAGUUGUUGAAAUGGCCAAGGACAAAAAAACUCAGACUUUGUUCAACUUAGCCACGGGUGUAAAGGUUUUUGUGUAGUCAAUGCCAUAAGUUUGUGUAAAUCCCUUCACAACAAGAUAGACUUUAUACCUUUUUAUCGUCCCAUCUGCUCUGCAUUUCAUAGUAAACACCCAUUUACAACCCAUUGCUCUCUUUCCAUGUGGUAAAUUCAUCACCUCCCAAGUUUAAUCUUUUUCAACGCUCCCAUUUUAUCAAUUACAAUGUCUCUCCACUUGUAACUCUCCAAUUCCUCCUAGAUAUUCUUAGGAAUUUUCACACUACCAAGGUUAGAAGUAAAAGCAUGAUACACUGUGGACAAUGCAUUAUAUGAUACAUAUUUUGAAAUGGGAUAGAAAGUAUAUGAAUGAUGUAACUUUCUGGGUGCAAUGGGUAAAUCAAUAUCAUCGGGUUUAGGAGCAUUAGAGGGAGGUUCGAUUACCUAAUUUGACCUAGGGAAAGACUCUUGGUUGUAAGGAGUUACCAUCUGUUUAGACUUAAUUGGUUCUUUAAGCUUGAGAUUUUCAUUAGGACUUGAUUUGGCUUUCAUGAGUAAACCAAUACUUCUAUGUUUUGGUGUUUUUCUGCACAUUCCUCUGAGUGUAAGCUUUUUUCUAUAAUCGACAAAGAUGUGGAUAAUAAUGCUGGUUUGAUAGAAUUAGUGUCUAGGAAAAUCAAAGAAAAGAGAUUCACCAACCAAGUGAUUUAAAAUUUGAGAUUCACUUACAUUCUCCCUUGAAUUGAGGACUUCAAGUAGAAAGAAGUGGUUUCAAAGAACUUACAUCAAGACUAACAAAGGUGCAUGUGGUAUGGGAUCGUAGAACUUGUAUCCUUUUUGAGUUGGUAAAUAACCAAGAAAAUCACAUUUUAUGGCUUGAGGUUCUAGCUUAGUUUGCUUAUGUGUAUGGACAUGUACGAUACUGUACAUCCAAAGAUUUUAAGGAGAAUAGUGGAACUAAGUCGAGAAUGGGAAAAGGCAUCUUGAAUUUUUUGAAGAAGGAUGAUAAAUGAAAGGACUUGACAAGGCAUUCUAUUUAUGAGAUAGGUUAUAGUCAAGAUAGCAUCGUCCCAAAAAAUUUUAGCUUGUUGGUGGUGAACAUUAGGGCACGAGCUACAUCAAGGAUAUAUCUAUUUUUUCGUUUGGCAAGGUGCCGACACAUGAACUCUGGUAAAUGAUGCCACAUUUAUGAAGAUAAAGACUCAAACACUGAUUAAAAUAUUCAACACCAUUGUUGGCACGUAAAAUUUUUAGUUUGGUGUUGAAUUGUAUUUGGAUCAUAGAGUGAAAAUUGAUAAAAAUAGAACGGACUCUAGUGUUAUCUUUCAGUAAAUAGACCUAACAAAGUUGUGUAUAGUCAUCUAUGAAUGUGACAACCCCUUUUGUGUGUGUUCAAAUAGGAAUACGAGAAGGACCCCAAACAUCAUUGUAAAUCAUAGUGAGCGACUUAGUGGGUUUGUAUGUUGACUUUGAAAAUAAACUACGUUGAUGCUUUGCAAGUUUGCACAUUUCACAUUGAAUAUCAAGAGACAAUUUAUUAAAACAAAGAGCAGGAAAUAAAUGUCGCAAAUACUAAAAAUUAGGAUGAUCCAUCCUAGAAUGCCAUAACAUGAGUUCACUAUUGUUAGAGAAAAAACAAAAUCAUAGAUAGCAUCUUGACAUUGGUUAAUUAUUUUAGCCUACUCAAAGUAGUCGAAUUCUUCACACUCUUCAACACUGGCUAUCAUCGUCCUUGAUGACAGGUCUUGAAAGACACAAUUAGAGGAAAGAAAUUUAGUAGAGUGGUUAAAGUGUUUAGUUAGCUGACUUAUAGACAACAGAUUAUAAGAUAAUUUUGGAACAUAGAAAACUGAGUUUAAAGUGAUAGAAUUGGAGAAACAGAUACUUCAUUUGCCUUUAAUAAGAGAAAGGGAUCCAUCUGUAAUUUUUACUUUCAUAUUUACAGCACAUGGUGAAUACGUUGAAAAUGGAUGAUAAGAAUCAGUCAUAUAGUUAGAUACUCCUGAAUCUAUAGUCCAUGGAAUAUGAGUAUGAGAGAUGGUUAAGGCUUUCAAAGGAUUACCUCUAUGGGCUAAGGAACCAUAAGGAAUGUUUUUUGUUGACUAACCAAAGGAUUGAAGAAUAGCAAUCAUUUCAUGAUCUUUUCUAAUUGACCUGAAUUUGAAGUAUCGCUGCCUAGAGUGGACUGAGUAGUUUUCUCUUACUUUUGUUUUUUGGUUCGACUCAUGCGAGUUCCCAAAAUCAACAAUUCUUAGUUGUUGAUGGAUGUGUCUCCCAUUGUUAGCUCAAUUUAGGAGAAAAUCGACUCUAAUACCGUGAAGAAUGAAAUAACAAUUUUCUGUAUUUCUUCAUUGGGUUAAAUCUAUUACACUAUAUUUAUAGUUUAACAACAAAAAUAAAAAAAUGAAAAUAUAAUCUUUUAAUUUAGGAUACAAGAAAUUAGCCUAACAAUCCACCUAAGUUAUGGGAUUAUUUAAUCAAUUAUAUAUCAAUCAUGUAUCAACCAUGAUCAAUCAUGAUUAAUCUCUAGAUUCUAUAGAUUAGUUAGUUUGGUUUUCUAAUUUCACUUAGGUAGUUUAACAUUUAUUUACAUCUAACUCAUUUAGCCCCUUUUGUACAUGCCAACGAUCGAAUUAACCUAAUAUAGCUAGUGAUCUCUCUAAAGCAACACUAAUCCUAUUCACAUGUUUGAAUUUACCAUAUCUCUAUAUUAAUUCAGACACAUAUAAAUGCAUUAACCUAUAGGAAUUCCAAAUGGUUUGCAUCGCCUAUAAUAAUAUCUCGAUCUCUUAUGAUAUCUAUGUUAUUUAUUGCACGAGCUAGAAUUAUACAUAACCUCUCAGUCUCAAUACUAUCCCUAAAUCAAUCAAUUGUUACGUAGGCAAUCAAAGCAUUAAUAACACAAUAAAUAAUUAACAAGUAUGGAAGAGGCUUGAAGUCUUGGAAUUAAACAAAAUAUUAAAAACCUUAAGUCACAUUGUUCAUCCUUACAUGAAAAGUAUUUAGCCACACUUAAUAUCGAAAUAGAACACAUAAAAUUUAAAUGACAUCACCAGGUUUAUUUUCAAUAGAUAAGAUAAAAAUCCUCCAAAUUACUGUUGAUCUUCGCCGCACGAAUUCCAACAAUUGUUCUUCGUCUUCUUCCUUGCGUAAUGUAAUUUUCCUAGUAAAUUGACGACAAAAAACGUGAUUAAUUCCACAAAUCUUGCACAAAAUCAUGGUGAAUUUUUUUGUAAAAAUUUGAAAAAUAUUUCUCUGCCUUUUGCCGUCCAUGUUCUGCUUCUUCUCCUAUCAGUCUCUUCUUUUUAUUUCCAAAUAACCCCCAGCUUUUUCUCUUCCAAAAGGAAUCCAAUGCCCAACUUCUGUUUUUAUUCCUACAUUAUCCAAACUCUAUUUGUUUUGUGUGCCUCCAGCUUCUGUUUCAAGAAGGAUUCUACUUUCCAUUGAAUUUCAUUAUAAUUGUAAGUCCAAAUGGCAAGGCCCGACAAUGUUUGAUUUGUGUCCAAGUCAUCAUUCUUUAUAAUCAAUGCAAAUUAGUCCUUGAAUUUCUAAAGUGUGAAAUUUGAUCUCAAAGUUAUAGCUUUUAUCCAAUCUUCCCCUUCUUGAUCUGAGUUUUUCCCCUACAUAAUAAAGGUACAAGAUAAUUAUGUAUCAAUUUCAUAAUAAUACUAACAAAAUUCACUUUUGAUGGCUUAGAGAAGUGUAAAUUUCACACUUAUCAGCUUACUAAAUGAAUCAUGUAACGAGUUUUAGAUUGAUGACUCCUAAGUCAAAUGAUUAUAGGUACCAAAUUUUAAGAUACCCAGAAAGAUUAAUUACUCAAGUCGGUCGGGCUACGAAGAAAAGUAUAAGAUAUCUCAUUCUAUAAAUUCAAAUCUUUUGUAACUCAAAAUUUUUUUAUUCUUUCAAGAGAAUAUAAAAGAGCUUUGGUUGACCAAUUAAAGGUUAUAUUAUAUUCAAAGUCAACUCACCUACACUGAUUACCUUAAUUCCAUGACAAAUGCAUAUGUAUAGAUCUAAAUACCUAUUCAAUGAAAAACACAAAUGCUCUUACCUUUAACAGCAACGCGAACAAUACCGCAAUGAAUACUAUCACUUUAACCUGUGAAUUCAAUCUUUUUUACCCAAACCUUCUUAGAAAAAGAAAUAAUCUUAGUAAAUUGAGUCGUCAAUUCAGUCAAGUGACUCACUUGAUUAGUCAAGAAUCUAACAUGAGAAAUUGGAUCUAGUUUGUUGUUCCAAAUCUAGGGCUACGACACUUAGGUGUUAUGUGACCUAAAACACCAUAAUUAUGACGAGUGUGAAUGAACCUAAACCUAUUUUAGGUUGAGAAACCUUAUAUUUCAUAAAACUCUUGGUCCUAGGGCUACUAAUCUCUUAGACUUGACAGAGUCAAGUGCAAACUUGGUGUUGGAAGAUGAAGCAACAUGGGUAUUAGGUUUAUUUAAUACUAAUAUAUUGUUAAUCAUCUUAAAACUAUUAGUAAAUGAUUGAAGCUGGGCAUUAGAUUUCUCAAGGUUACUAGUAAGAGUCUUAACCUUUACUUCUAAGGACACCUUUUCAACGCUUAACUUAUUCAAUCUACUAGUAGACUCUACAAGUUUCACCGCAAUGCUAUCCUUUUUUUCAAACUUAAGUUUAUGUAAUUUCUUAAAGGCAAAGCUUUUGACCUUUUUCAACUUAAGGCACACCUCAAAUAAGUAAUCAAAAGCCUUAUUUGUAUCAUGUUCAUUUUCUGACUUUUCCUAUGAACGGUUAAGUUUCUCCAUUUCCUUACGUGACUCACUAUUGACCAUAGAUGUGAAUGCCAUAUAAGUCCAUCUCUCAUUAGAAUGGAAUUCUCACUUUGAUUAUCAAAGAAAGAUUCUUCAACAGCUGGAGUAGCAUUCAUAGCCCUUCCUAGGGUUUCCUUGUAACUUGGGCACUCUGAUUUAACAUGACCAAAACCAUGGCACUCAUAACACCUAACAGGCCUCUUCCAGGCAUCUCCAACAUUACUCUUCUCUCUUUUAUCUUUACUAGAUGUAUUAGAUUUACAUUUAAACUUCUAUAGAGCUUUCUCACUCUUCCUUGAAAAAAAUUUAAAUUUCCUAACAAAGUAGGCAAGCUUCUCAAUUGUAUCACAGUCUGCUUCUUUAAUAGUUUUGAGGGUUAAAGAUUUGUUCAUCUUAGACACAAAUGGCUAAAUUUAUAGGUUUGGAGAAAUCCUACAAGUUCUUAUAUCUAAAAGGCAUCUAGGUCUUUGCUUUCCUCAAUAACAGCAAUUUUAGGUCUUAACCUCGCAGGUAGAGAUCUUAUAACCUUUUUCACAAUCUUAGCCUUGGGGAUUCAAUUACCUAGGUUGAAACUAGAGUUGAUUUUGUCAUUUAAUUUACCACAGUAUAGAUUCAUCAUCAAUCUUUUUAAUUUCUUCAAAGCUAGUGGUCAACAUCAGCAAUUUAGAGUUUUUAAUGGUCUUGAUUUCCUCAUGUGUGGUUUCUAAUUGUAUAUCCCAAGCAUCUUUUGCAAUAUCACACAUGGACGCUCGUUUAAAAUACUCAGGCGAAAUAGUCAUAAAGAUGGCAUGUAUCUCUCUACUAUUUUAGUUACAUUGAUUUAAAUCAUUUUUAGACUAAGUGAAAACAUCUGUAGGGUAGCUAAGGUAUAUGUAAUCUUUCUUAACACUAAUCGAAACUCGAUCACCUAUAGACUUAGGAAAAACUCUCAUUCUAUCCAUCCAGUAUAUGUAAUUAUUAUCGUUAAAGAAUGGAAGAACGAAAAUUGAUUGACUCAUCUAAACAAAUAGAAUUAAAGAUCGCAUUUAAGCUCUGAUAUCAUUUGUAAAAAAAAAAAAAAAUUGAUUGAUAUAUAUAUAUAUANNNNNNNNNNNNNNNNNNNNNNNNNNNNNNNNNNNNNNNNNNNNNNNNNNNNNNNNNNNNNUAUAUAUACAUCAAAAGCAUAAAAUGUAAACAAUACUAGAAAUUGAUGACAGAGGAAAAUCCCUUGAAGAACUCUUCACAAGGAUCAAAAACCUCUAUUAAAGCUUACCAAAAUGAUCCACUAGAAAAGCCGACUUACAAUUAGUCCAGAUAAUACUAAACCUUAGCUGAUUUUGACCACUCAACUAGUAAAUCACCGACGAACUGUUCAAUUGUGCAUCUCGCACUUUUCUACAACUCUGGGCUACUUUUCCCCUCGACGUAGAUCACUAAGAAUGAACUCAUUUUGGAGUACUGAAUCUCCAAGCACCUCUUCUCUAACUUCAUAACUCUGAGGGCUUAUAGGUGAAGAUAAAAGUUUUGGUGUUUGAUGUUUAGAUCUCCUUUGUUAAUGGAAUCAAGUUGAUCUUCAAUGGAGCACUCUCUUGACUGAAUUAUGGUUCAACCAAUAAUACAAGAUGUUUGUGAUUAAUUAUGAUAAUUUGAUCUUGGGGUUGAAUCAAGAAUAAUUUAAAUGUGUUAUGAUCUUCAAAUGAUGUUCUCUAAUAUGAAAUAAUAAUUCAACACACUUUGGGAUGGACAAAUGCUUGAAUAUAUAUGAUAGUCAGUGUUUGAAGUUGUAUAGAAUUGGAAAACAACUUUAAAUUGCGAAAAGGACUUUUUCAGAUGACUACGCCACUUGAGCGUUGGGUUAGUGUCUAGUAAGCGACCGAUCCACCGCUCGAGCACCAAUCCAAGCGAACGAUGAUGCUCUUAUUCUGGACACUCGAGUGCGCCAUAUGCAUUCAGCAAACUAUUUCAUGUCGACUUUUUCUCUUUGGUACAUAUUUGACAUCUCUGACUUCAUGACCUAUGCUAGCUAAUCCACAACUAUUUCGACUUUAAUUAAAACUCAAAAAUAGCCAAUUACAAUUUUGACCUAUUAGAAGCAUUAAUCAUAAAUUGCUUCCCAUUCCAGAUUAAAGAAUAUUUAUUCUUUAAUUUAAACUUCGACGAUCUAGAUAACAUUAUUCUUUAAUUAAAUUAUAUGAAUUCUUUGGUCAUUUACGCAUUGAAUGAGUUAAUGAACUAUAUACAUACUAAAGGUAUGGGUAAUCGGUAUAGAAUGUCUCUAUAAUUUUUUUUUAUUUUUUAUUUUUGGUUUUAUUAAAAUCGUCCAUAUCAUUUCAAUUCUGCACAUUCUUCCUAUGUCCAUUUCCUCCGUUAAACUAUUGUAAUAUGGUGAAUUUACACUUUUAUUUAAAUAAACGAUAAGAAAUAAAAAAACAUAAAGAAAUAUUUUCAGUUAGAGUCUCAAUGUUUCCAAAAUUGCAAAUAAGUUCCACUUAAAAUAUUAAAAAAUAAAAGAAAAAUAAUAAUAAAAAAAUCCAUUCCCCAUUCAACUCCAACUAUUCCAUGCCCAACUCCCUUCCUCCACCACCACCACCACCACCACCACAACCACAAAAAAAGGGGAUCAACGUUGGUUUACAUUCUUAUUAUCAGGAAAACCAAAUCGAGUUCGCUGUGGAUUGUUAUAUUAUCAACUACUACAAGCUUCAUAUUUGGUAGGUAAUAAAACUUGAGAUUUUCAAGAAUCAAAUUAUCAUAUUAUGCAAGUAUAAUGCCCAUAAAGUGUUUGAUCUUAAGCUUAAGUGAAUUUUUUUAGUUUAAUAUGUUAAUUGUAGGUAACUUGAAUUUGUAUACAACUGCCCUGGAAAAGGUAUUUUGGAGCUUAACUAGAGUUGAUUCAGAGCAAUUUAAGAUCAAUUAGAAUGAAUUUGAUCAAUUAGAAGAAUUAUUAUAGCAAUCAGAAGAAAUUCACUAGUUUUGGGGAGCUAAAUCUAACUUUAAAAAGCUUGGGAAUUUAAUUUCAGACUUUCGGAACUUGUAAUAGAUCAAUUACAGUUGAUUGUGGAGUGAAAAAUUAAGAAAAGAUUCGAGUUAAACCAAAGGGAAAAGUUGAGUACCAAAUUUAAUGAGAUAUAAAACCUGUGAGUUGCAAUCGUGAGCAUAGCCUUGUGCAAUUGCGAGGUCUAAAAAUUUUUCAGCUUCAAAUAAAAAUCUUUUGCCAUGUGAUCGCAGUGAACAUGUCUAUGUGACCAUAAGAGAUUUUCUAUAUUGAUUAAAUAUCUUCUUUAAAAACAAUUAGAACACUAUUAUUGAACUAAAUCUUGUGGUUAUGAAUACUCACAUUCAACCAUUAAUUAAUCGAGACUCUUAGGGAUACAUUAUUCAUAUAUAAUUCAGAAGAUAAGCCUAGGAGAAAAUUUGGAUUAAAGAAUACACAUAUUUAUCAAGUUUUAUCAAAGCUUUUGUUACAGACUUGACCAUAUAUACUUUCAUAUAUCAAUUACUUGGGUCAAAGAAGAAGAAGAAGAAGAAUAAAUUCAGCAAUUCAAGUUUUCUGUCCAUGUUUCUUCUAUUUUUUAAUUAUGUGUGAAGUUGUAUCAAUUGAUAUUUAUUUUUGUAAUAAGAUGAUGCUUGAUUAAUUGUAUAGAUUGUAGGAUAACAUUAAAAAUCUAAUGGCUUGAUGUUCUCAUAUUACUUUCUAGAUUUUGACAUUAGAUACAUGUUUUGUUUUGAAGGAUUGCUAGGAGUCUGAUGCUUUUUCAUUUACUUAAUCACUAAAUGAGUUGUGUAUGAUUUUUAUUUGACUUCUAUAGGUCUAGAAUCAGUUUAAACCAAAACUUAGUGCAUAAAAUCAAGAUUUCUCAAAGACGUAACAAGAAAUUAAAGAACACAAGAAAUUUUUCAUAGGUUCAGCGACCACUUCUAAUACUUAGUCCCCCAUUGAGCAUCCGUAAGUAUUAAGCUCAAAUCAACUAUACGGGCCAAAAUAGGUAAAAAAAUCGAAUUACAGAACACAGAGUUCUCAAAACUCUAGUACAACACAAUCUUCCUAUAGAGCAAACUCACACAAGAGUUUCUCUUCUAUUUUCUCUCCAAAAAAAAAAAAAAAAAACACUAUGUAGUUUUAGAGAAAACACAAGAUCAGAAUAGAGAAGACAAAAGGCACGCAGCCAGAAAACCCUAGAGAAUGAUAAAAAAAACUUAACCCUAAAGUCACAAUAACCUAUUUAUAUGAGACUAAAAGAUCUAACGGUAAAGAACUCACCACUUGUCACCAUCCAGGAGAUUAUUCUUUAAACCGAAAGCUUGUUAGUUAAAUAACACGUUUUUGCCAAAUCUAGAAUCUUCCAAUUAUUGGGUCAUCAACUUGGAUCAUAAAUGUGGGCUUAAAGAAAUCGGCUUUGAGAUACUUGGGCCUCAACAAAAUUCAGCAACCCAUAUUUUACAAUCUCCACCUUUAUUGUAUUUUGUGUCUGCACUUGUGUGGAUUCCAACUUAAUCUCUUAAGCUUCAUUUUCUCUUAUUACCUAUUUACAAAGAAAAAAAAUUAGCAAGCUUCAAGAUUCAACAAUCUCAAAUAAUCUAAAAAUUUACUAAGUGGUAUUAUGUGUGUCCCAGCAUCUGUAGAAUUUACCUUAACAGGUAUUUUUACCAAUUUAAUAUCACCAUUAUCAAUUAUAUCUCUAACAAAAUGAAACUUAACAUCAAUGUGCUUUGAUCUAUCAUAAAAAAUUGGGCUUUUACUUAAUAAAAUGGCACUUUGAUUAACUGAGCACAACUCCACUUGAUUUUCUAUAAGACCUAAUUCAUUUAACAGACCUCUCAACCACAAUCCCUCUUUUACAGCCCCUGUGGCAUAAUAUAUUCUACCACGGUAGAGGAUAAAGAAACUAAUUCCUAAAGUUGAGAUUUCCAGCUGAUGCACGUAUUGUUUAUUACAUAAAAAUAUGCAACUGUAGAUUUCUUAUUAUCGAGAUUUUCAGCAAGAUUAGAAUCAACAUAGUCUUUAAGUUUAAAACCAUCUUUAUUUAUUUUGAACAUGAGUCCUAGAUUACAUGUAACUUUCAAGUAUCUAAUCAGGUUUUUCAUGCAUUCCCAAUGAGACUGUCUUGAAUUACUCAUAAAUCUAUUUAAUACACUUACAUCAUAAGCUAUAUCAAGUCUAGAUCACACCAUUACAUACAUGACAGACUUAAAAACAUUAGCAUAUGGCACAUUCAACAUUCUUUUAAGUUCAUCUUCUAUCUUAGGUGACUAAUCAGCAGAAAAUUUCAUGCAACCAGACAAAGGUAAACUAAUAGAUUUAUUAUUUUCAAGGAAAAAUCUUUUUACCACUUUUUCAAUAUAAGAUUUCUAUGUUAAAAAUAGUUGACCAUUAAUUUUGUCCCUUAUUAUUUCCAUACCUAAAAUUUUUCUUGCAGGACCUAAAUUCUUCAUUUCAAAUUCUAAUUUCAACUUUUCUUUUACGAAAUUAAGGGUGACAGAAUUAUGAUCAGCCAAUAGCAUAUCAUAAACAUACAAAAUGAGGUAAAAGAAUUCAGAAUCACUAUUCUUUUUAAAGUAAAAAUAUGGAUCAUAAUCUGAUUUUUUAAACUUUAGCCUUGUAUAAAAGAAUCAAAUCUCUUAUAUUAUUGACUUGGAGCCUGUUUUAGGUCAUAUAGUGAUUUAUUCAACAAGCACAUCAAACCCUUAGGUUGUGUCAUAUAUAUGGUUUCAUCUAAAGAUCCAUACAAGAAGGCAGUCUUCACAUCACGUUGUUCUAAUUCUAAAUCAAAAUUAGUUACAAUGGCAAGAAGAACUCUAAUAGAAGUGUACUUUACUACAAGUGAGAAAAUCAUAGUAUAGUCUAUUCCUUCUCUUUGUGUGAAGCCUUUUGCCACAGGCCUUUCCUUGUAUCUUCUAUCAUUUAUUUUUGAAUCACCCUCUUUAAUCUUAUUCACCCAUUUACAAUCAAUUAGUUAACAUUCUUUAGGUUUCUCAACCAAAUCCUAGGUUUUAUUUUUAUACAGGGUGUUCAUUUCAUCUUCCAUAGUCCCAAUCCAUUUAGAAGACGCCUUACAUGAAAUAGCUUUCUCAUUAGAGGUUGGUUCUACUUCAGAGGAUUCAAACUCAGGUUGAUUAGAUACAUAAUCUGCUUAUUGAUAUCUGGAAGGAAGUCUUAUUUCCCUUCCUUCUCUAUCCCUAGCAAGCUGAUAAUUUUGCAGCUCAUGUGCAAGAUUUAAUACCUUAUUAUCAUUCAGAACUUCAUUAUCUGGAUUGAUGUAAAUUUUUGUUUGAGGCUGCUCCACCUCAAACUGAGCUUGCUCAGCAGUAUUUUCUUUAUUAAGAUCAAUUUCUGUGAUAACAAAGUCAUCAUCCCUUAACUUUUCAUUGCUCUUGUCACUAAGACAUGGAAAAUCAUCCUCAUUAAAGAUUACUGACCUAGUAAUUAUUAAUUUAUAUCCUCUAACAUCUCUUGACCAAAGUCUAUAGCCUUUAACUCCUCCAUAUCCUAAGAAGACACACUUUUAUGACCUAGGAUCCAAUUUUGAGUCACUAUAAUGUGCAUAUGCAGCACAUCCAAAAGUUCUAAGAUAGGAGUAAUCAAGCAUAGAGCCAGACCAAAUCUAUUUAGGGAUUUUGUUAUUUAAUGAGCUGGAAGGACAUUUAUUUAUUAAGUAGGCUAUUUUUACUACUUCUCCCCAAAAAACCUUAGGCAUGCCAGAACUAAUCAGCAUGCACCUUUUCCUCUCAAGAAUAGUUCUAAUUAGUCUCUCAGCAACUCCAUUUUUCUUAGGUGUAUAGAUGAUAUUUCUAUGCCUCAUUAUGCCUUGUUUACAACAGUACUGAUCAAAUUCUGUAAUGCAAAAUUCCAACCCAUUGUCAGUUCUAAGGACUUUAAUCUUCUUACUUGUUUAGUUUUCAAUUAAUGUAUUCCAUUGCUUAAAGAUAGCAAAGGUAUCAGAUUUAGAUUUCAGUAAGAAGAUUCAUGCCUUCUUGGAAUAAUCAUCUAUGAUAAAUAAGUAAUAUCUAUAACCAGACACGAUAGGCAAUGGUGCAAGACCCCACAGAUCACUGUGUAUGUAUUCUAAAACAAUUUUGAAUUUGUGAGUACCUGCCCUGAAGGGCAGCCUGACUUGCUUUCCCAUGAGAAUUAAUUCACAAAAAGUUAUUUUCUAAACAUUGUCUUUCCCAAAUACCCCUUGGUGUGAGAGGGGUUUUAAGUCCUAUUCACCAAGAUGAACAAGUCUCUUGUGCCAAAGUUUUAACUUAUCAGAAUGUGUAACAAGAUUUACAAAGGUAUUAUUGGGGACAAAUUCAGUGUCUAUAACAUAGAUUCCAUUGGUUUUAGGUGAGCUAAUAAUGAGAUUUUGGUCUCUAAUUAUGUUUGUGAACCCAUUCUUAAUUUCAAUAUGAUAUCAUCAUCUACAACACCUAGUGAUAUUAAAUUUCUACUUAGUGCUGGUACAUAUCUAAUAUGUUUCAGCAUUAAGUAAUGACCAUUCUUCAAUUUUAAAAAGAAUAUUACCUAUGCCUCUAAUAUGGCAUGAUUCAUUAUUUCCAAGUUUUACAAAACCUCCCUCAAGGUUAGAGAAGUCAGAGAACCAACUUUUAUUGGGGCUCAUGUAAAAUGAACAACUUGAAUCUAGAAUGUAGUUCUAAUCAGUCAUUUCAAUUGAAAAUACAUAAGCAACUCCAAAUAUUGGCCGCUGCUUCCUUACAAAAAGCAGCCAUAGAUAAUGAACCAUUUUCAGAGGUAGGGUUAUUUUUCUGGUCAUUGGCUUUCUUGAAGCAAUCUUCAAAAAAGUUACCUAACUUUUCACAAUAGUAGCACUUUUUAUUCUUUGCCUUUACCCUAUUGAAUUUCUUGUCCUUUCCUCAAUUGUUGGCCCAUUUUUUAACAAUAUUUUUGUCCUUGUUAUGAUCAGUGUUACUCCUUAUAUUAAGUUAGUCAUCGAAAGCAACAUGUGGAAGCCCCACUGACAACAUUGGAAGAGUCGGCCCAAAUAUAUGAAAAGACGAAGCAACAAAGUUACAGAGACUACAGAACUUGAAGCCCUUGUUCUGGCCAAGGUACCACUCAACUAGAUACAUACUGAAACCUUGAAGAAGGGUUUAUACCGAAAUCCUCAUGUCCACGACCUGUUGAAGUUCUAAAAGAUGAGGCUGAAGUCCUAAGAAAAGAAGAAGCUGCCACAUUUACCAACUUGACGAAUAUCUUUGUGAAAGACUAAUUAGACGUCUACUUCAUCUUGUGUUAGGAAUAUCAGCCUAGAAAUGUAGGGCAGUUGACUCUUUGUCAAUAUAAUAAAUGCAUGUGUAAGAAGGACGUGAUGUAUAGAAGAAUGAGGUAAGGGCAAAUGGUUCGAAUCCAGCGGCCACCAUGUAUUCUCUAAACUCUAUAUAUAUCCUCCCCUUAGAAAAAGAAAAGGGAGAUAUGUGUGGAACAAUAGAAAAAAACAUAUAUGGAAAGAGAGCAAGGAAAGAAAACCCUAGAAAAAGAAUAAGGAACGGGUAUAUAAUUCUUGGCAUACUUUGGAGGGAAGAAUGAGUACUAUUCCAUAUAUUUCAAUCCAUUAGAUCUCUUAUUCAUUUCUCUUCUUCUUCUUCUUCUACAAAUAUACUUACACCACAUAUACUACUAAAAUACGACCACAUAUACACUGUUUUUCAACGACUCUCGUUGGCCAUUUUCAAAAAUCAAUAGAUUGGCGCCGUCUGUCGGAAGCUUGGAAUAGCUAAGCCACGAACACCCCGUGGAAGAAAACCUUUGAACAAAAGGUAACGAUCUUGAAAAAGAGAUACGGGAAAGAGGCAACUCAAAAGGAACUUUGCUAAAUUCUUGAAUAAAGGAAAGAAAUUCCUGGAAUAGAGCUAAAAAGUGGUUAUUUGUCGAAGAGGUGCAGCCAUUAGUUCGGCAGAGGAAGAAAUUGCAACCAGGUGAACUAGAGAAGGCCUAGGCGAGAAAGCACCCUUGCAAAGCGCCCCAAUAAUCCAGGAGCUACUGUUAGCUAUUUCAGCAGUUUGCCACCAAAGAGGUGGCUCAAGGAGCAGGCCCAGGGUAGCAGCGAGGUUCGCUAGGGAAUUGGCCAUCAUCAUCAUAAACAUAAGGACAAUCUCCCAAAAAAAUGUUGCAAUGCAAGAACUCUUAGGGCGUAUGCAACGUCAACUGGCCAACUCCUUACAAAAUAACAAAGAGUUUGUUUCGUCGAAAAGAGAGGUGGGUGUGGACAUGGUCGCCAACUACGCCACCCACCAAAUGACUGGAGAGAUUGUCGGUUUGCCAAACUAAGAGGGUAAACACGUCGAGGAGUUCGGCUAGUGUCUUCAAUAGACUUGGUCCUACGAGGAACAGGCAGGACCGACCCCACAUUUUGCCUGCUCAAGCCAGAUUUCCUCCUAUCCCCUUAAGCUAGCCAUACCUAUUUAACCAUCCAUCAGUGGGAGGUCAGCAUGGACAAUCUCAAUCGAAAGCUGUAGUGAAACUCACUCAUAGAUACAUACAUCACACACCUAGGACUAGCUCGGAUGCAGGCCAACCAAGACUGACCUCAUGAGGAGAAAAAUAUACGCUCAAGGAAAUGAGCAUCCUAAGCAAAGCCCACUUUCAAAUAGAAGCGCUAAGGCAUAUAAAUGUCGGUUCUUAUCCAUAAUCAUGACAAACAUGAGCCUACCUUCACAACAAAUCAAUGAAUCGAGUGCACAAGCCUCACAAAAAAUGAUCUGUUGUCUUUCCCAUUCCAUCCAAAAGAUGUGGUCGGGGGACAGAAGUCUUGAAAACCGCCCCCAUGAGAAAGAUAAAAGACCUAGCCUAAAAAGACGAGCUUCAAUUUUGGUCGUCUCAAGCUGAAUCCUCUUGCAAAAAAAGGCAGCGAGGCUUGCUAAGGAAUUGGCCACUGUCACAAACAUAAAUGACCAUCUCCUCACAAGAGAUGCUAAGGCAUAUGCAAGGUCAAUUGGCCAACUCCUCACAAAACAACGAAGAGGUUGUUCCGCCGAAAAGAGAGGUGUGUGUGGACAUGGUCACCACUACACCACUCACCAACUGACUGGAGAGAUAGUCGGUCCGCCAAACGAAGCAGAGGAAUCACGUCGAGGAGUCCAGCCAGUGUCUUCAAUAGACUUGGUCCUAUAAGGAACAGGCAGGACUGACCACAUAUUUUGCCCGCUCAAACCAGAUUUCCUUCUAUCCCCUUAAACCAGCGACACCUAUUUAACCCUCCAUCAGUGGGAGGUUAGCAUGAACAACCUCAAUAUGAAGUCGCAGUGGAACUCACUCAUAGAUACAUGCAUCCUCCACCUAGGAAUAGGCAUGAAAGACAAGUUGCAUUAGCUCAGAUGCAGGCCAACCAAGACUAACCCCACGAGAAGAAAAAUAUAUGCUCAAGGAAAUGCACAUCCAAAAAGUGGGCAUCUUAAGUAAAGCCCUUUUGCAAAUAGAGGGGCUAAGGCAUAUAACUGUCGGUUCUGACUCCAUAACCUUGACAAACAUGAGCCUACCUUCGCGACAAAUCAAUUAACUGAGGACACAAACCUCACAAAAAAUGAUCUGCAGUCUUUUCUAUCCUAUCCAAAAAAAUGUGGUCAGAGGACAAAAGUCUAAAGCAUUGCCCCCAUGAUAAAGAUAAAAGGUCUAGCCUAAAAAGAUGAGCUUCAAUUUUAACCGUCUCAAGUUGAAUCCUCUUGCAAAAAGAGGCGCUAAGGCAUAUAAUUGUCGUGGCGGGCCCUAUAAUGUCAACCAAUAAGAGCCAAUCUCUUAGCAGAUCAAUGGCAAAAAAGAGUGUGAUCUGCUAUCUUCUCCAACAAAGCAAAGCCAGAGCAGUUCAGGCAUAAGCCUCAUAGAAUUAUAUUCUCUACUGAAACUUUGCCUCAAAAGGUAAAGUUCGACUCUCUUGUUGUUAAUGGGUUAAAGACUUUGAUCCCAUCCAAAAAGGCAGAAAAAUGGAGGUUCAGAAUAGGUUGAAGAGGGCAUUGCCCCACCUUAUGUAUAGUCUCAAACCGUACAAUGUACUUGUAAAAGAAAUAUGUUCAAAGAAAAUGUGAAGAAGAAACCACCUCGAUAGAAGUGUCCUCAUAUAGAAAAUGAUAAGGUAGGACCCCAUAGGGGCCACCCCAUAAAUGCAUAAAUCCUUUUUGAUUAAUUGUAAAGAGGGACCAUGCAUGAGCCGACAGCUCAGUCUCGUGACAUGAAAAGAAAAACAAUUACAAGUGUUAAGACUUCGACUUAGGCGAGAGGUUCGACCCUCUUGCCUUAGAAAAAAAUAUACAUAUAUAACAAGCAAAGAGCUUCUAAAAAAUAGGGAACUCAACUCCCUUCACAAAAUUCUAGUAAAAAAUUCGAGUUAAACAACCUCGGGCAACAUAAAGUCUGGCUCCUUCCUCGAAAAUUUAGCAAAAUGCUUGAAAUAAAUAUCUUUCCCCAUAACUCCAGCUCCUUUAUCAACACUUAAAAGUCAAAGACUUAGCCUACUUUAAGGCUUCAGAUAACGUCUACGAUAAGUGCUUGUGCAAAUUUAUAUCACUUUUAAGUUCCCUACAUGUAAAUAUCUAUGUAUGGAUUCGAGGACUAUUGUUAUUACUGUUAGCCUGCAUGUCACAUUAUGGCUAGCAUCCUUUAUGACUCAUGACAUCGUUUUUACUAGCGCUGGUAUACAUGUCAUGUUACAUACAAUGUCAUCAGGUACAUGACCUACUAUGAUAAAUGAUAGACUUCUCCCAUAUUAUAUCUUGAAAAAAUAUGAGAAGCCAUUUAUGAGUAUUUAGAAGGGCAAAAUGGACCUCGUGCUUAUUUGGUAUAUGUACAUUGGACUGGUUUAGUCCAUCUUACCAAGGAGAUGCUACUAAAAUUUCGACAAAAUAUAUGACAUUUUGUGAGGCAAUUCGUUUGAGGAAUAGAAGAAAAUAUUAGCACAAAGAGGCAUUUAAAAAGUAUUAACCCAAGAGGCCCCAGCCCAAAGAGGCCCUUCGAAAUAUAUGAGCUCAAAAGACAUCAGUGAAAAUUAGACCAAAAGAGGCACUUUGAUAAAAAAGAGCUGGACCCUGAAGAUGGUCGCCUCCAAAAUGAAAAACCUAAAAAGCACUUGAAAAACGGGCUAAACCUUAAAGACGUCUACCUUAAAAAUGAAAAUCAACCUCAAGGGCAAAACAAACAAAGAGGUGGAUCCUAUAAGGACCACCUUCAUGAACAGACAAGUUGCUUAAGAAAAUAUAAAAAAAUAGGGGGCUAUAACAAAGGCACUACCCUCACAAAGCGCCCCCAACUAUGAAACAGUAUAGGAAUAACCCAGCUGCCCAGGAGAGGUGCAUCGAUGCCAACCCUUGAGGAUCCACUUAGUACCACUUGGGGCACUUCAGACAGAGGUCACACUCUAUUGCAACAUAGUUUAUUUGAAGCAAUGGACGACCCGUUGCAAUUCGACGCUUCUCUCAGAGCGUUCAAAGAAGAAUGUGCUGAGGUUGCAUUUUCAUUUUCACCGAUCCAAAAAUCCAAUGCAUUAUAUCUAGGAAUUAUCCAAUUUGCGCACUCCAUGGCAUCGUUCGAAACCAAAUAGUCCCUUACAACAAUUUCCAUCAAAAUCUACCAAGUGAAAGUAUAUUUUCGAUCAUAAUCUCAAAAACACCCAUGAGCCAACAUGACUUUAUACAAAUAAAUGAGUAUCCAAGCAAAUGAGCCUUUUAUAGGCAAACACAUGCAUUUUCAACCAUCGGAUCUCAAAGAUCUGAGCCAUCUAAAUGUGGGUCACAUCUGGACCCUU